UUGUAAUGUCAAGGUUUAACAAUCGUAUAGUAUUAGAUGAUUAUAGUGUUUUGUUAAAAACCGCUUAUAAUCUAUAAAUUAUGAAUCUGUUACUAAUAUUAUACGAUAUUAUAGGGUCACUCACCUAAGCAAACUAAAUCGAUAAUAUAAUUAAUAUACAUGAGAAAUAAAGAGUAAAUUAGAUAUGUCAUAUAAGAUAUGCAUCACGUGAUAAGCAUAAGACGACUCUUAUUAAAAGGCAAUGGGCUUUAAUCCAUUAAGAGUUAACAUGCUAGGUUAAAUAAGUUCAUUAUAUAUAGGAGUAGUAGUAUUGAAAACUCUCUCUCUCUAAUCUCACACCUAUCCUUCAGAGAAAGAGAGGAAACUUCCGAUUUCAUUCUGAAAUCGGAUCUUCUCCGGCUUCAUCUGGUUUUUUUGGUGUAAAUAUUCCGACUUUUAUCGGAUCUCUCUUCCGUUUUUAUCAGAUAAUAAAUUUCCGACUUACGUCGGAUUGUUUUCAUCCCUCUUUCCUCUGCAAUUCGGAUCCUCUUAUAAAAAGGGGUGGUGCUGUUCAGAUCUUGUGGUCAGUGUCGGAGUUUUUCUUCUUUGUUUAUUGGUAUCAUCCUCUCUCGGCAGUGAGUUUAGAUCUCCCCUGGUGCCCUCUCAACAACCUUUCUAAGGCAAAGGGCGGCAUGUCCUGAGGCAAAGAUGAUCGGUGGCCAUGGUGAUUUAAGAAGAAGUAAAAAUCUCUGAUCGAUGAUUCACAUAUGAUCUAAUCGGAGGAAGAAGUAAAGGUGAAGGAGCGUCUGUUUUGAGCAGCAGCGAGUUGACAUGAUCGAUGGUGGAUGCUUUGGUGGUAAAUCUCGCCGGCAACGGAUGAACGGCGUACAACGUAAUUUUCUUUCAGCCUCACACGCGUCCUCGUUUUUGCAUAUCGCUACAUGUGUUGUAACACGUAUUAGGUGGUUGUUUUGGGUCUUAUUUGGGUUUAUUUUAUAUACUGUAUUGGGCCUUUUAAUUGCGUUGUACCUCCUGCCUUUAUUAGGCUUUUCUUUUUUUUGAACAGACGACAAAAAAAUAGCUUCAUUAUAUAAGCUGCCUCUCACGAAAACCCUAAACAUAAUUAAGAGGCAAAUUUUUUUGUCAAGUUUUUGAGAUCUGAUCUCUACAGCACUAGCAUCCCGUCUUCAUCUAGUUUGUUUUGUUUGUGUGCGUAUGAUACCGUUAGAGACACGAAGUUUGAAAUGUUCGCUGCAAGUAAAUUCUAAAUAUGAUAAUCUAGAUUCAACAUAGUAUUUGCAUGAGAUCUUGGAAAUUGAGUUCAUAGCUAGUUUUAUAAAUCGUUAUAAACUGGUAUGAAUUUCAACAUUUUUUUGGUAAAAUACUUUUUUCAAAUAGUAUAUUUGCUAUUUGCUAAAUAUUUCAGUAUACAGUAUGUAAUAAAUCAGAUUUAACUCACCACUGACCUCAUCAUUCAUAUUACUCUACAUUUAUAUAUAUAUAUAUAUAUUGUUUGUUUUGACAUCGAAUUUAUAUUUUCGUAAAAUGUAAUCAUCAUUUGUUAGUAUGUUAUUAUAAAAUCUUAAAAAUUAAUUUAAAAUACAUAUUGAAUAUUAUUAAGUAAUCUAGAGUUAUAUAAAAAUAAAAUAAAUAUCCAUCAAUAUUUUUAAUUAAGUAUAACAUAAAUUCCUGUUUAUAUUUACAUAAAUAUUAUUUAAGAGUCAAUUAAUAAAAAAAUUUUUUUUUAUUUUUUUGAAUGGUUUAAAACUUAAUAUUAAAAAUCUUAUGUAUAAGUGGAUAUGUGUCAAUCUCUGCAUAACUGAUAUGUCAGAAAGCUGAAGAAAAUUGGCCUUCUUUUAUAUAUAAGACUAGGACUUUUGCUGCGCUAUGCGCGGCCUCUUUUUAAAUUGUUUGUCCAUUAUUUUAAUUUGAAUUUUUUUUUAUAUUUUGAUUUUUGAUUUGAAUAUUUACUCGAAUCAAAAUUGGCAACUUAUGCACUAAAUAUUUUUAUGGAUAAUUGUGGGUUACAAAAGAUAAAUGACAUCUAUUCUUUGUUAGUUAAGAAUCAUGAUUGUUAGUAGAAUAUAUUCUGGUUUUUUGUUUAAUAUGUAAUAUUAUGCAUACAUUUAAUUUGUAUGUUUAAAAUGAUGAUUCCCUACAAAUAGGACAUUUUGUUUUUGUUAUUUCUAUCCAUUGAACAAUAUAAUGAUGAUGGUAGGUGUGGCCACAUGCUAUUAUGUUAAGAUCAUCUCUUCUCAUUAAUGGCUUUAGGCAGAUUGUGCAUCCUUCCUUUGCAUCUUCAAGCCUAGAAAAUCUUGAUAUAUCUUAAAAUCACUUAGCUUCCAAGUUAUAUACAUCCCUUUUAAAAAAAGGCCUUUUGUACACACCAAAAAAAAAACAAUCGUAAAUCACUAAUUCAAUUUGAAAAUGGGUUUGUUUCUUUAUUUGGUAGGUUUGUUAAAAUUAUCAAAUUUAACACAUGGUUUAGAAAAACAUAUUCCUAAUAAAUGAGCCGUCACCGAUCCUUAUUUUUACAUUAGUAUAUAUCUUUUUGUUGGGAAUGUCCUAAAAUAAUUCAUACUUUUCUAGUUGAAAUUGUAAUGUCAAGGUUUGAUAAUCAUAUAAUAUUAGAUGAUUAUAAUGUUUUGCUAGAAGCCGCUUAUAAUUUACGGAUUACGAAUCUGUUACUAAUAUUAUACGAUCCUGCAGGGUCACACACCUAAGCAAACUAGAUCGAUAAUAUGUUGGGUUUAGAAUAGCAUAUGUUAUAUAAGAUGUGACAUAUAAGUAAUAUACAUGAGUAAUAAAGAAUAAAAUAGGUAUGCCAUAUAAGAUAUGCAUCACGUGAAUAGGCAUAAGGAAUACAUGGAAUCAGAUUAGACACUCAAGACCUAUAAUGGACUGGACCCGUGGAGUGUGGUUUUCAAAGGCUACACCAAAGUAUUCCUUCAUAACUUGGCUUGCCGCAACUGGAAGUAGGAUAAUCCACUGGCAACAGAAUGCAUCUUCUAACUGUGUUUUCUGCCAGUGUCCUAUGGAAACACGCACACACCUCUUCUUCACCUGAAGUUAUUCCUCAGAGAUCUGGUCCAACCUCGCUAGAGGAGUUCUCCGAGAUCAGUAUACUACUGAUUGGGAUGAUCUACUCCAAAUCAUUUCAAAUUCUCAGCACAAUCGACUGAAGAUGUUUAUGACUAGAUAUUUGUUUCAAGCAACGAUAUACACUAUAUGCCAGGAGAGAAACCAAAGAUGGCAUGGAGAAUCUCCAUCACAACCUCAACACUUGAUUCAGCAGCUCGACAAAACAUUGCGAAAUCGCAUUAGCACAAUUCAGAAGACCGGGGAUAAAUGUUUCAAGGAGGGGUUGACAUUUUGGUUCUCUUCGAGGAAAAUGACUUAGCUACUCUCAUUCUUUUUUUCAAAACAAUUUUAUUUGAUUCUUGACAAAAGUUACAUUUUAUUGUAAAACAGGUUUUUUUUUUGUUGAAUAAAUUUACAUUGAAUUCAAAAAAAAAAAAAAAUAAGCUAGUAACUUAACGUAAGUUGCAUAGCGUAGCCGACUCUUAUUAAAAGGCAUUGGGCUUUAGUCCAUUAAGAGUUAACGUGCUAGGUUAAAUAAGUUCAUUAUAUAAGCGAUUUAUAUAAGCGAUAUAAUGAGUUGUUUAAUUAGCUGUCUCUCACGAAAACCCUAAACAUAAUUAAGAGGAAAUUAUUUGUCAAGUUUUUAAGAUUUGAUCUCUACGGCACUAGCAUCUCGUUUUGAUCUAGUUUGUAUGCAUAUGGAUACUGGGUAGAAGCAUAACGUUUGAAAUGCUAUACAAAUGUACAUUGUUUUCUGUUCAUCUUUCCGCUGCAAGUAAACUCUAAAUCUGAUAAUCUAGAUUCAACUUAGUAUUUGCAUGAGAUCUUGCAAAUUGAUUUCAUAAAUAGUUUUAUAAAUCAUUAUAAACUGGUAUGAAUUCCACACUUUUUUGGUAAAAUACUUUUUUCAAAUAGUAUAUUUACUAAAUAUUUCAGUAUAUAGUAUGUAAUAAAUCAGAUUUAACUCACUAUUGACCUCAUAAUUCAUAUUACUCUACAUUUAUAUAUAUAUAUAUAUAUAUAUAUAUAUAUUUUGUUUGUUUUGACAUCUAUUACUAUUUACUAGCUGAAUACCCCCAUGUAACGUGCAAGGUUUUCUUUUCAACUAUUUCAAAUUUAUAUUUUUGCAAAAGUAAAUGUAAUCAUCAUUUGUUAAUAUGUUAUUGUAAAAAAUUUUAAAACUUAUUUUAAAAUACAUAUUAAAUAUUAUUAAAUAAAAUACAGUUAUAUAAAAAUAAAAUAAAUAUCCAUCAAUAUUUUUAAUUAAUUAUAAUAUAAAUUCUUGUUUAACAUUUACAAAAAAUGUUAUUUAAGAGUUAAUUAAUAAAAAAAAUUAUUUUUUCGAAUGGUCUAAAAUCUAAUAUCAAAAAAUCUUAUAUAUAAAUUCAGUGUCAAUUUCUCCAUUACUGACGUGUUAGAAAACUGGAGAAAAUUGGCCAUUUUUUAUAUUUAACAUAUAUAAGGAAAGUUGUUUGCGACUCAGUAAAUUUGACACAUUAUCAUAUAAAAUUCAUCAUUUAACAAAUCUAAAGAUUCGAUUAUUUUUUUUCCCUAAUGAGAUGCUUCAUGCAUAUAUUUAAUUACAUUAACAAAUAGUGCAAACUAAAAAAAAUCCUGAAAAUAUAUUUUAAUAAUAAAGAAAAUAUCCUAAUUUAAUUUUUCAAACUCCUGAAGCAUAAGUGAACAAAAUCUAAGCUACGUGACUUUUUAUUAUAGAGGUGUGAUAAUCAUUUCUAUAUAAUUUUUAUGAUUUUAUUUGUUUGAUUUAAAUGUUAGAGGAUAUGUUGCAAUCACAUUUUAUAUGAAUUUACUUGAGUUUUUUUUUAAAUCAAACAAAUAAUAUCAUAAAAAGUAUAUAAAGAUGAUUAUUACUCCUCUAAAAUAAAAAAUUCACGUACCUUAGACUUUUUUCAUUUAUGCUUCAGUAGUUUGACGAAUUAAAUCAGGAUAAUUUUUUAUUAUUAAAAUAUAUUUUCAGGAGUUUUGUUAGUUUGCACUAUUUGCUAAUGUAAUUAAAUACAUGUAUUAAGCAUCUCAUUAGAGAAAAAAUAUAAUAUAAUAUUAAAAUUGUUAAAUGAUAAAUUUUAUAUGAUAAUGUGUCAAAUUUGCUGAGUCGUAAACAACUUUUCUUAUAUAUUAAUAGUAAUAGAUGUCAAAACAAACAAUAUAUAUACAAGUGUAGAGUAUACGAAUUAUGAGGUCAAUGGUGAGUUAAAUCUGAUUUAUUACAUACUGAAAUAUUUAGCAAAUAUACAAUUUCAAAAAAGUAUUUUACCAAAAAAAAAUAGAUAUUUAUCCAAAGAUAAGGAUAGGUGACGGCUCAUUUAUUAGGAAUAUGUUUUUCUAAACCAUGUGUUAAAAAUCCAAUUCCAUCUUUCUCUUUCAUCCUACCAAUCUUUUUGACCUUUUUGGUAAAAUAGUUUCAAAAUGAAUUUUUACUGAUUGCUCAUUUUUAUGGUAAAAACUUUGACCAAUUUGUUUUUGUUUUCCAUAAGAAUUUAUAAAACUUCUUACUUGGAAAAAGAUUAAAAAAUAGGAAUAUAUUGACCAAGAAAGUUUUGCAAUGGCAUGCUGAGGCAUUGUUAUUAUCUAAGAGACGUUUCUUCAGUCUCUUUAUCAUUGUCUUUCUCUUCUUCUCGUAUAGCCAAAAUAUGUGGGAAACUGAGGGAAAUGAAAUUAGAAAUCUCUAUCGUGAGAUUCUGAAUGUUGGAUGUUAGGAAUCUUUUUUUUUUCGUACCCAAUUGGUACAUCACAUUUGGCUAGUCAGAAGAUUAAUCCGUAAACCAUUUUCGACCAAUUCGGUAUGACUGAUUUGGGAAAAUAUUACACCUCGUGCGCGAGCUCCUUUUGCAAGGCUAUCAGCCCGGAUAUUUAAACAUAUGGGGAUAUGGGAUAGUGUGAAAUCUGGAAAGUUCUCUCGGAGGAUGCAAAAGGAUUCCAAUUCUAACAUAAAGGCCGGCCAAUCCGUUAGAGACUCGGUCUACUCAGUAGGUCCAAACAAUCGGUUUGAAAAUGUAUCGAUGUCUUAUUUCUCUCUCUCAAGCGUGACAUAGUCUAAAAAAGGCAAUCCAGCUCGGCAUGAAGAGCUGAUAGACUUCUACCGUAUCCCUGCAUACCAAAAAAAUCCAUUUCCCUGCCCUCCUCAAAACUCCAACCGAGACCACUAACCGGUCCAUGAUUGAUCCAAGAGGCAUCAAUCCGGCAUAUCAGGAGUUGCUGGUCCUCAGUAAAAGAUCCUGAGGUUGCAUAAGAUUGCUGCGUCCCAGUGUCUACAUCGUCGAUUUCUUCGGGUUGGUUUGCGAUCCUCCAACUCUCUACUUCCACUCUGGCUAAGAACAAAGUAUCUUCCGGAGAAAUUUCUUUCCCGUUAAAGAUCUUGUCGUUCCUGGCUUUCUAAAUAUAACAUAGGAUCCAAGGAUAUACAUCCUUUUGGGGAUCUGUCAUUCCUAACUCUUUUGUUUUCCAAAAGAAAAAACUCAUAUUUUGGUAAAUAGAGGUACUCGGGAAGAGGCCCAGAAGGAACGGAAAGUCCGAUAACGCCCAGACUUGUAAAACCGGGGGACAUAAGAACAAGAGAUGGUUUAUGGACUCUUCAGGGUCCCCACACCUGGGACAUCUCUCAUCAGUACCCAAAUGUCAGUAUGUAAGAUUAUGGUUCGUUGCCACACAUCCUGAUAGGGCUUGCCACAUAAAGUGUUUCAUCUUUCCAGGUGUGCGUACUUUCCACAUCUGGCUCUGAAGCGCCGUAAUACUCGGUUCUCUCAUCACUCCAGCUUGUCUAACUAACUUCGUCCUUCUAAUUAAGUCAUAACCUGAUUAUACAGAUUAUAAGCCCGAUUUUGUAUGGUUCCAUGCAUAGCCAUCCAAAGUACGGUUCUGGCUAGGUCUCAACCUAAGAAUAAGAAGAACAUCCUCAGAUUGGAACAAUUCUCGUAAAAGAGGAACAUCUCAUCGUUUUGUAUCCUGGCAUAUAAAAGAGUAUACUAACAGUUUUGGGUUGCAACUCCCGACCUGUGGAGCAACUCUCGCCGGGCGAGCCCUAUGGUUUGGGAUCUAAGGUUCGCUCCAGACUCUAGUAUUAAGACCAGACCCAAUUUUCUUCCUUAACCCCACCUUCAGGAGCGGUUUUGCGGCCAUAAUGCUCCGCCACCCAUAAGAUGGUGAGUAGACCCUUCGAUCCUCUAAAGGUCAGAUUGUCUGUAAUAUCUGCCUCUUAAAACCUGAGCCAAGAGAGAUGAAGGGUACUGGAUAAGUCGCCAUAGCUGUUUUACAAGAAAAGCAAAAUUAAAAUCUUGUAAAUCUCAAAAUCUUAGACCUCCCAUGUCUUCAGGAAUGCAAAUCUUUUCCCAUGCAAUCUGUAUCCCACAGCUAUUUUGCUUAGAGCUCCACCAAAAAUUGGCAAUGGCACUCCGCAUUUUGUCAGUAACUCCUUUGGGAAGUAAGAAGCAUGACAUGACAUAGGUAGGUAGGCUUGUGCAACCGAUUUUGUUUGAAUUUCUUUUCCACCUUUGGAAAGAAGUCUUGCGGACCAAUUAGUGACACGAUUACUCAGACGGUCAUGAACAUAAGAAAAAACUUUCUUUUUUGAUCCACAGAUUUGUUCAGGGAGCCCCAGAUACAUACCCAUGCCGCCUUCUGAUGUUAUUCCGAUAGCGUUUUUUAUACCUUGCUUUAUGUUCGGGUGCAAUUUAUUCCCAAACAGGAUGGAUGAUUUCCCUAGGUUGAGUUGUUGUCCCGAGGCUUCUCCAUAUAAAUUUAUGAUCUUGAAGAUUUCGGCUCCCUGCUGGAUGUCCAUUCUACAUAAAUAGAGGCUAUCAUCGGCAAACAGAAGGUGAGAGACCGACGGGCUCGCUUGAGCUAUUUUCAGUCCAGUGAUACGUUUUUCUUCCUCUGCUCCAUUGAGUUGGGAGAUAAGUGCUUCUGUACACAGAAUAAAGAGAAACGGAGAGAUAAGAUCUCCUUGCCACAAUCCUCUCAAUGGUUUAAUUUUUCCUUGCGUUUCUCCAUUGGUAAGGACUUUGUAUGAGACUGAAGAAAUGCAGAACAUUAAUAGUCUGACCCAUCUCGCUGAGUAUCCUAACUUGAUCAUGAGUGCUUCUAUGAAACUCCAUUUCACCCGAUCAUAGGCUUUACUCAUGUCCGUCUUUAUAACCAUGAAAUUUUCUCUACAAUUGGUGUUGGUACGGAGAGCAUGGAAAUUUUCUUAUGCCAACAGAAUGUUGUCUGUAAUAAGAUGCCCAACCAUGAAUGAUGAUUGUGUUUCUGAUAUCACAUUAGGUAAUGUUUUUUUUAGUCUUUUACACAUGAGCUUUGAGAUAAUUUUAUAGCUCACGUUAAAAUUACUAAUCGGACGAAAUUCCGCCAUCGCUCUUGGUGUUUCUUUUUUUAGGAUAAGGCAUAUAUUAGUCUGAUUUAGUCUAGGAUCAAAAUAUCCCGAUACGAAAAAAUCUUUCACCAGUUUAAUUAUGUCGUGGCAUAGGUAUAGCAAGAAUUUUUGAUAGAAUUUUCUCGUCAUUCCAUCUGGUCCAGGAGUUUUAUCCGGAUUAAUAUCAAACAAAGCUUUUCUAAUCUCUUUUUUCCAUCGGUUCCAUCAAAAAGAGGUGGUUCGAGCUGUCUGAGACUUUUUCAGUAAUAAACCGGAGUGAAAUUCUGUGUCUGUAGGCUGUAAUGAGGUAAACAAAUCUUGAAAAUAUUGGGAAGCCACCCGUUCAAUAUCUUUUGCGUUUUCCACCAAAUUUUCAUUACUAUCUUUUAAGGAGACAAUACGGUUCCGAGCUCUCCUUUGUUUAGUAAGGGCGUGAAAAAAUUUAGUAUUUUUAUCGCCAUUUCUCUCGACUCUUCUGUUUCAAAAAAAAUUCUUCUUCACGAUAGGCUGAACAGAGAUUUCUUCUGAUUUCUUCUAUCUCUUCUGUCCUAGUUUUUUCGUCAUCUUGGGCUAUAUCAAGUUGAUUCUUUAAUUCUGCUAUCAUUUUUUCCAAAUUUUUCGGGAGAGACUUCUUUCAAAAGAAGAUAUUUCUACGACAGUCAGCCAUUUUUUUGAUGAAAAUCUUGACGUGAGAUUUCAUGAAAAGAGCUCCAGCCAGUGAUUACAGCCUCUUUGAAACCCGGUUUUUCCAACCAUCUUUUAUCAAACCUAAAGGUUUUUUUCUUCCUUUGGUUAUCAACUCGUAUCAUAGCCAAAACUGGUAGGUGAUCUGAUCCCAUAAUUUCAACUCCACAGUAGUGUGGGAAAAUUUAGAUUGCCAUUCUUUGUUACCAAGGGCUCUGUCAAGACGGCAUUUAACUUUACCGGACCGUCUUCUUCCAACCCAUGAGAAUGAAUUUUCUUUAUACAGAAAUUCUAACAUUCCACAAUUAUCCAACAUAGUCCGAAAAGGGAUAAAUGAGAAUUCCGAUCUCCUUCGACCUCCUCGUUUCUCAUGGUUUCCUGUUAUUUCGUUGAAAUCUCCUAUCAUAAACCAAGCAUCUUUCUGGAUAGGCUCAUCCUGGUAAGACGUUCCCAGACAUGUUCUCGGUUUUUCACAACCGGAUCACCAUAGACGAAGGUCAUAAAUAUUUUAUGUCCGUCUAGAACAGUUUCUACAUCAAUCAAAUGUUCAUCUGAAUAAGAAAUAGAAACCGUAGGUUCAUCCAUAUAAAAAAGGGCUAGACCGCCGCUUCAACCUCUCGGUUCAACGGCAUAGACAUGGUCAUAGCCAAAAUAUACUUGCAUAUCUUGCAGAAAAAACGUUUGUUCUUAGUUUCCGAUAAAAAAUAAAAAACAGGGGGAAAAACUUUGAUGAAGUUCUUUUAAGUGUUCUUUCGUCUGGUCGGCUCCCGCACCCUGACAAUUCCAUCUGAGGAUGUUCAUUUCGGACGGUUUACUGGAUUUUUGGCUUUAUCCAAACCAGAUGUUGAAAAGGCUUUUGGCUUUUGGGCAUUCUCCUUUUUGAGCUAUGGAUUCCUUGUUUUACUUGUUCCCGGCCCAGGCCCAGCAAACGAAUUCAAUCUCCUUCCUUUCCCUUUGACUUUUGGCGAGGUCUAACCCUUAGCGAUUUUUUUCCAGGAAAACCGAAGGGCCGCCAGAGGUCGUGGAAUCGGUAUCUUCUUCACAGCAUUCUUGCCGCAUUUUUCGGUAUCAGCUGAUAUUCCGGUCACAACAUUCUCAUUGAUUGGCUCUCUCUCUUUAGGUUGAGAUCUUCAAAAUAGUUCAUAUAAAUAUAAUCUUAGCAAAAGCUAGAAAUUUUUUCAGCUGUGAGAGAAAGCCAAAACAAGAUCUAAGCAGAAGAAGAGAUACUUGGAGUAGCACAACUAGAACUUGAAUAUUAUUUUUUUUAUUAUUUGAUGGGAGAAAUCCAACACUCUUCUUCUUUCUCAGCCAAAUCUUUCACAAAUUUAAAGAAAAAAAAAACUCAAAAUCUUAGCACAAAGCUAGAAUGUGAUGAAAUCUAGUUACAGAGCAUAUGAUUAAACUUCCCAAAAUGGGAGAAAGUUCCAGUUUUGAUUAUAAGAGAGGUUGCUUCGUGAAAAACGUGAUGAAGGCUUCCGGAGCUUCAAACUGGUAGAUGGAGAUGGUUGUUCAACGGUGGUCAAAGUAUAAGGAGAUGCCGGAGGCGGUAAGCAGAGGCACUGACUUGUUUUCCUUGCUUCGUAUCAGGAAGAGAGAUGUGAAAUCAUACAAGAUUUCUAAACCAGCAGAGAAUUUGAACAGAUCAUAAACUCUUCGCGGCGGUGAUUAGAGGUUGUUGGCUCGCCUUCAACAAGUCGGAACAUCGGAGCAGUCGUCAGGAAACGCCACAGAGAAGAGAGAGAUUCAAAAUUCAAAUCCAUGGUGAAAAAAGAGAUCUGAAAUCCAGUGAAGGCUAUCUCGGGAGAAGGGCUAGAGAGCUUUUCUUCUCUGAGAAUAGUUUUUUCUAUUAUGUUAGAUACAGAGUUGUAAGGAAUCUGAGUAUGUGAAUUUUUUUGUUUGUGAUGGAAAUUCCUGAAUUUUAUGGUUAAACUGCUUGAAUAUGUCUGCAAUCUAAUACAAUUCCAAGUCACGAAAGAUUCGUCGUUUGUGACUUUUAUCCAACCAAUACAGAGGCUUCUUAAUAUCAUUGUGGUUGCGAUGUUGAGAAGUCUUUCUACCGGGUGGAUCAAACUCAUAUAAGUGAAAUUUUUGAUGACUCAACAUUAUUAGAGCGUAAAAAUAUUCAGUCAGUUAAAUGACAAAUUGCUAGAAUCUUAAUCACAGACUGAAGAAUUCAAGAACUCAGAUUCUUUGAAACUACCAUUUUGGGUCUGACAUUAGAGAUUCUUUCGAACGAACACUGGUCUUAACACAUUUCUUGAAGGACAUGAGACAAUAAAACCAGAAAUAUAUUUGAUAGAUUCAUUAAAUUUUAUUUUGUAAUUUUAUAAAUUAUUAUUUGUCUUUUCAUGAAAAAUAAUUGUGUCAAAGAAAGUUUGAAAGGCACAUGAUAAUUAAGUUAAAAUUUAUUAAUUAGUAGUAAUGAUAUUAGUUAGUGCUAAAAAUAUGGAUACAUGUUAAUUUUUAAUUUUUAAUAUGGAAUCCCCUUCAACUAUUAUAUAUUAGACUAGAAGAGAAUCUGCGCUACGCUGCGGAAUUAUAAACUAACAACUUUUAAUUUCUUAUAUAAUUUUAUAAUUUUUUUGAUAAUCUUAAUAAUCUCAUCCAUCCAUUUUUUUCUCGAGUUUUUUCAUUCAAAUCAUGAUUUAGUGAUAAUUUAUUAACUUUCUCAAAUUACGAAUUUUAGGUUUUUUUCACACAUACACACACACAUAUAUAUAUAUAUAUAUCACUAAUUCCAUCUUUUUUACUUAUAUUUUUAAUUUUUGUAUGUUUAUUUGUUGUUGUAUUAUUUUUCUUUUCUCUCUAUCAUUUUUUCUAUAUUUUUAUAAUUUGUUAUUUUUUCAAUUGUUUAUUGAAUGUUACUUUUGGUACCGUAGUUUUCUUCUUGUUUUUUUUAUUCUUUAGAUAUUUAAAACUUGCUUAGACUAUUUUUUAUAUUUUGUCUCAUAUUGUUUUCUUUUGCAUUGAGAUUAAAUUAUCUUUAUUAGUUCAAAAAUAAAGAUUAAAUCACACUUAAAAUCUGAAAUUUUUUUUAUUCAUAUGUUUAUGAUGUUUUAAUCGAAAUUUAAAUUUGAUUUAACUUAUGCUUAUGAUGUUUUAAAUUAGAUUUCAAUUUGAUUUAAAUUAUGCUUAUGAUUUAAUAUUUGUAACACAGUUGAAUUUAAAUUAAAUAGUUUAUAUAGGAACUAAUAGUUGGGACAGAUUUGAAGUUAUGUUUUUAAUCUUUUAGUUCAACUUCUGAUUUCUUUUGUGAUUUAAUUUAUAUUUUUUUUCCUUGAUGAUCCUAGCUGGUAAUCUUUUCAAUCCAUUGUUUUUUACAUUUUUCCAUUGAAAUCUUCAUCUAGCGAUUAUUUUUACUUUUUUCAAUUUACUAUUUUCAUGUUUUGUUUUCAUUUUUUAGUUGGUUCUAUCUAUGUUUGCCAUGCCUCUAUAAUUUUAUAUUUAUUUAUUACCAUAUUCUUUUUGUCAUUUUUUCUUUAUCUUUUGAUUAUUUAAUAAAUAUUCUUUUGUGUGUUUUGACUUUCUAGCUCUUAUAUUUUUUAAAAAAAAUUUAUUCUUCAGUUUUUGGAAAUUUUUAAUUUUAUUACUUGUUAUUAAAUUUUUAUUUCGCUGCGAGAAAAUUAUCUUUGUUAUUUCAAAAAUGAUGAGUAUAACACACAGUGAAAAAAAGACCAAAUUAAAAUCUAAUAUCAGUUUUUUUAUUUAUACAUAUAGGAUAUUUAAAUUAAAUUUGAGUUGAAUUUUUAUUACUUUAUGAUUUAAUAUUUUUAACAUAAUAAAAAUCAGAUUAAAAUGGUUGAUUCAUUUAUAUUCAAAAAAAAAUUUGUAUAUGUAUUAUUAAGAAGAAUAAAUAUUAAUUUCUUAUUGGCUCUCAAAUGUUGAGUUGUCAAUCCGUGGAGGAUGCCCUUCAUCUUUUAUAUAUUAGAUGCUUAGAUAAUAAAAAAAAUAUAAGAUAAUAUCUUCUAUUAUUAUUUUACAAAGACACAUUAAAAAAAAACUUUUGUGUCAUGUGUAAUUUACAAUUGUGCCAUGCUGAAGUGUCAAAUUCAGAGAGAUUCUCAGAAUUAUAUUAAAAAUGGUCUCUAAUUGCUAGAAUAAUUACAAUUGUGUCAUUUUAGGGUUGUUUUGAAAAUAAUGACGUUUUUAUUAAGGGAAAAACUCAGAUCUUAUUAUUUCCAUAAGCAGUGUAUAUAUACAUUACAUAACUAAUGCAUCAGAAACCCUAAUGGGCCAUGAGACAUUAACCUGAUGGUUAAUGGGCCGGUUACUAGAAGUCCAUUUGUUUCUAACACUCCCCCUUGGACAAGGUAACCGUGCCUGUCACAAAACCGGGAUCUCUAUAAUGCGCUGGGGAACGUUGCCUCAUUAAAACCUUACCAGAAAAACCCAGUGGGAAAAACCAUGGUGAAGGAAAAAGAGUACAACACGCAUUACUCCCACUGGUUUAGGCAUCACUGUAGAUCUCUAAGUCUACGCAUUCCUAUCUGAUGAAUGAGCUUCCGGAGUGUAGAAGUCGGUAAUGAUUUAGUGAAUAGAUCGGCUGAAUUUUCGCUUGAUCGGACUUGCUAAACCUUGACCUGACCAUCCUUCUGUAGCUCAUGAGUGAAGAAGAAUUUGGGCAGAAUAUGCUUCGUCCGGUCACCUUUGAUGUAGCCGUCCUUGAGUUGAGCGAUACAAGCUGCAUUGUCUUCAUACAUCACCGUAGGCUCCUUAUCUUCGUCCAUACCACAAUCUGAUCGGAUAUGCUGAGUCAUGGACCGCAACCAAACACACUCUCUACUAGCUUCGUGAAUGACCAAGAUUUCCGCAUGGUUGGAUGAGGUAGCGGCAAUAGUCUGCUUCAUGGAUCUCCAAGAUAUGGCUGUUCCUCCAUGCGUGAAAACAUAACCGGUUUGAGACCGGGCACAGUGCGGAUCUGACAAAUAUCCUGCAUCAGCAAAACCAACUAGACCAUCCUUGUUAUGGUUAGAAUAAAAUAAUCCCAAGUCCUUAGUACCUUGAAGGUAUCUAAGGAUGUGCUUAAUACCGUUCCAGUGCCUUUGAGUUGGACACGAACUAAAGCGAGCUAAGAGGCUCACGGCAAAGCAGAUGUCUGGUCUAGUGUGACUAGCCAAGUACAUUAAUGCUCCUAUAGCACUGAGGUAUGGCAUUUCAGGACCGAGGAUUUCUUCAUCGUCCUUCUUUGGACCGAAUGGAUCACUAUCCAAUCCAAGGCUCCUCACAACCAUUGGGCUGGUUAAUGGGUGGGCUUGGUCCAUAUUGAAUCUCUUGAGUACCUUUUCAGUGUAUGCCAAUUGAUGCACAAGGAUUCCGUCAUUGACGUACUCAAGUUGUAAUCCCAAACAGAAUUUAGUUUUGCCUAGGUCUUUCAUUUCAAACUCUGCUUUUAAGCAUUCAACUGUUUGGGCGAUUUCACCAGAUGUUCCGAGGAUGUUCAAGUCAUCCACGUAUACUGCUAUGAUUACAAAUCCUUUGUUUUGAUAUUUUCUGAUGAAGAUGCAUGGACUGAUCGGAUCGUUUUCGUAGCCUUCUCUGAUGAGAUAUUCGCUUAACCGGUUAUACCACAUACGUCCGCUUUGUUUCAGUCCAUAUAAGGAUUUGUUCAGCCUAAUGCAGUGUUUAUCACGAGAUGCAUGCUUAUCUUUGAGCUCAAUACCAUCUGGUAAUCUCAUAUAGAUUUCACUGUCCAGUGGUCCAUAAAGAUAUGCGGUUACAACAUCCAUUAACCGCAAAUCUAAGUUUUCUCUUAUGGCCAGACUUAUGAGGAAUCGAAAUGUAGUUGCAUCCACCACUGGAUAAUAAGUCUCCUCAUAAUCGAUUCCGGGUCUCUGUGAGAAUCCUUGUGCUACAAGGCGUGCCUUGUAUCUAACGACUUCGCCGAGUUCGUUUCUUUUACGCACAAAGACCCAUUUGUUUCCCACUGGUUUAACAUCGAAUGGUGUCCUUAAGAUCGGACCAAACACAUUCCGUUUCUUUAAACUAUUCAACUCCACGUUUAUGGCUUCUUUCCAUUUCAGCCAAUCUGAUCUACGAGUGCACUCAAUUAUAGACGUGAGUUCUAGAUCCUCUUGCGUGUGCGCAAUCUCAAGUGCUACCUUGUAUGCAAAAGUUUCAUUGAUGUCAACAUCUUUUCUGUUCCAUAGAGAACCGAAUAUGAUAUAAUUGAUUGAGAUCUCAUUAUUAUCAAUCCCUUCAGAACCUUGAGUUUUGGCGUCCCAAACCUCUUGAGAUGGUUCGAUAGGGUAAGUAUCAGCUGAGGCUGUAUCCGUGUUCUCUUGAAUCCCGGUUUCAAUCAUUGCACCUUUCUUUGAUUUCCGGGGAUUCUUAUCUUUGGAACCUGGUGGUCUGCCACGUUUCUUACGUGCGUCAGACUCUGUAGCAACUUGACUUUUCCCUGAGGGGACAUCUAUUCGUACUGGUGCAUUACAAGCUGGUAUGUACAAUUUGGUAACUUUGUUCGGGUCAGCAAAGGAAUCUGGCAAUUGAUUAGCUAGCUUUUGUAAAUGUAUAAUUCUUUGGACCUCUGAAUCACAUUCUAGAGUCCGAGGAUCUUGCCAUUGUGUGGAUGUUUGAUUCCAUGAAAGUUCUUUUACCAGCUUGUCUGUCUCACCACCUAAUCUAGGAUAUACCGAUUCAUCAAAUCGGCAAUCUGCAUAUCUGGCUUUAAACAGAUCUCCUGUAGUUGGCUCGAGAUAUUUUAUGAUGGUGGGAGAAUCAAAACCAACAUAUAUUCCCAUCCUCCUUUGAGAUCCCAUUUUAGUCCUCUGUGGUGGUGCAAUGGGUACAUAGACUGAACACCCAAAUGUUUUAAUAUGGGAGACGUCUGGCUCAUGACCCGUUAGCAAUUGGGAUGGUGAAUAUUUGUGCUCACUAGAUGGUCGUAUGCGUAUUAGUUCAGCGGCAUGUAAGACUGCGUGUCCCCAAGCUGAGACCGGGAGUUGUGACUUCAUGAGUAAUGGUCUAGCAACCCAUUGAAUUCGUUUAAUGAAGGAUUCAGCUAAUCCAUUUUGUGUAUGGACAUGUGGAACGGGAUGUUCAACACUUACCCCCAUGGACAUACAAUAUUCAUUAAACGCUUGGGAAGUGAAUUCACCAGCAUUAUCAAGACGUAUAGUCUUUAAUGGGAAGUCUGGAAAAUGGGCUCGUAAUCUGAUGAUUUGGGCCAAUAACCUAGCAAAAGCCUGGUUCCUAGAAGAGAGCAGACAGACAUGCGACCAGCGGGUCGAUGCGUCAAUGAAGACCAUGAAAUAUCUGAAUGUCCCACAAGGUGGGUGAAUUGGUCCACAUAUGUCUCCUUGGAUUCUUUCCAGAAAGUUCAAGGUCUCUUUAGACACUUUGACUGGUGAAGGUCGGGUAAUCAGUUUCCCUUGUGAGCAAGUUGUGCACUUGAGGUGCUGAGGGAAAAUACCAUUUGGUUUAAGGCUGUGCCCUUUAGAAUUCUGGACUAAUUUAUGCAUCAUGUUCGCACCGGGAUGACCCAGGCGAUCAUGCCAAAUAGUGUAAUCUAAAAACCGUGUUUUGAUAGCAGCAUUAGCCUCAAUCAUACUGACUUUAGCAUGGUAAAUGCCAGUAGAUACGGCGGGUAUAGUUUCAAAAACUUGUUUAUGGCCAUUUAUCAUUUUAGUGAUAAUUAAAAACUCUUUGUUCCCUUCAUCCUGAGUUUCGAUAUGGAAACCAUUCAAUCUUAUGUCUUUGAAACUCAAUAGGUUUCUCUUAGAACUGGGUGAGUAUAAGGCAUCAGAGAUGUCUAGAUAUGUGCCAUUUGAUAACAACACAUUAGCUUGGCCAUGGCCCUCUAUUAGGCUCGAACUACCCGCUAUAGUGCUAAUGUUUGCGGUUUUGAUUACUAAAUUUAUGAAGUAAUUCUUGUCUUUUAGAAUGGUGUGGCUCGAUCCACUAUCCACAAUGAUAUCCAUAUUGUCUUGCAUAUCUUCAAGAAUUAUAAUUCAAUAACAUGCAAAAAUGAGAUGUAAAUAAAACAUUACUCCAUAAAUUAAAAUGUAAAAGCAAAAGGUCUUAAAAAUCCAAAGUAAAGACAAUAAAUCCCAAAAACAAAAGAUAAAGGUUUAAGGAGUAAUGAAAAACAAAUUCAGAUUUUUGAGAUCAAUCAAGGAGGUCGGAGAGCUCAUAAUCCAUGCCAUCAAUCUUAUCAUCCUUUGAGUCAUCUUCAUUGACUUGAUGAACCAGGUUAGCCUCAUGAUUAUCUUUCCCAUACUUCUGGUAGAGCUCAGCAAGAUAUUUGGGAGUACGGCAGUUCUUGAUCCAAUGAUUAGUCUAGAUGAACUGCCUCUUUGGGUCGGUUUGUUGAUACCACGACCCUUACCCCGACCAAAACUGAGGUUAGGUCAGUUAUCUUGGUUCGGUCUACCGCGUCCUCUGCCACGCAGUCCAUGUCCAUUUCCACGUCCACAUCCACGAUCUGAGGAUCUGUUACGUUGGACGAAGUUGGACUCUUUUCUGGUUCCUUCUGGCAAUGGGGCUGAUCCUGGAGGCCGCAUGGCACUGUUCCUCAACAGAAGCUGAUUGUUCUUCUCAGCAAGCAGUAAGCAAGAUAUCAAAUUCUCAUAGGUGCUAUGAUUCAUGGCACGGUAUUGUUGUUGGAGAACAACAUUGGGAGUGCCAAAAGUAGAGAAUGUUUUCUCUAGCAUAUCCUUAUCAGUGACCUCCUCGCCACAUAGUUUUAUGAGUGCAACUAUCCGAAAGAGUUCAGAAUUGAAUUCUUCGACGGAUUUGAAAUCUUCGAACCGUAGGUUCUUCCAGUCGAACUUGGCUUGGGGCAGUAUGACCGUUUUCUGAUGGUCAUAUCGCUUUUUCAGUGCCACCCAAAGUUCGAGUGGAUCCUCAAGAGUGAGGUAUUGUUGCUUGAGAGACUCAGCGAGGUGAUGGCGGAUAAUAAAUAUCGCUGAGUACCGUUCUGUUUGAGUCGCAGUGUUGGGAUCUUUGAUGCAUUCACCCAGACUUUUUGAGUUGAGGUAGAUCUUGGUGUCAAGGGCCCAUUUGAGGUAGUUAUCUCCGAAGACAGUGAGUGCCUCAUAUUCGACCUUCUGAAUGUUUGACAUCUGAAACAUAUAAUAAUUUAUGUUAAAUAAUCAAUAGUAUGAGACUAUGAUCAUUGGAAUAGGGGAUUUAAGGUAUUCUUGGGAAAACUUUCCAUUUCAGGAAACUUGCUAUUUUAGGAAACUUGCUAUAUAAGGGAACUCUAAAAUCGAACCUUAGGGUUUAUAACCUAGCCGGUUUACUAGGGUUUCCAAAUUUAGCUCUAAAAGAUAAACAUUGGUUUUUUUUUUUUUUUUUUUUUUUUUUUUUAAGGGUUUAGGGUUUAGGGUUUAGGCAAUCUAGAGAUUGAUUUUGGAAACUAAUUUGAAAUUAACCGAUUAAGCUUAAACCGAUCGGAUUGAUCGAUUAAACAACAAAACCGGUUAAAUUAGAUUUAAUUUUUGAAACCGGUUAUUAGGGUUAUUAAUCGGUUAAGGGAUUGAACUAAACGGAUUUGCUAGGGUUUAAUUUUUAUUAGGAAAAACUGAUCGGUUUAAACUUAAACCCUAUCGAUUUAGGAUUAGAGUUUAUCGGUUUAUAAACGGUUUAGGUGGAUCGAUUGGUUUAGAUUUUAAGGGGUCGAUCGGUUUUAGGAUUUAGGAGCUUUUUAGGGUUUUCAAGGAUCGGAUCUAAGAUAAAUAACCGAUCGGUUUAGGAUAUAAACCGAUCGAUCUCGGUUUAACGAUAGACAAACCAAAACGAUUUUAGAUCUAGGGUUUUGCAAAGAUUUAGGUUUCGGUUUGCAAGGAAUUUUAGUGUUUGGUUUAGAUGAUGCUAGGACCGAUCGGUAUAGGGUUUGAACAAAGCAUUAAGGUUUAGGUUUUAUAUGAUAAAGCCGAUUAGGAAAAAUAAAACCAAUUAGAGUUUUGACAAGAAGAAAGAGGAUCGGUUUGGUUAUAGUUUUAAAACGAAAAAGACGAUGAAGAAUCAUGAAAAGAACCGAUCCAUAUUAGGGUUUUCAAAAAAAAAAAACCAAAACUUUGAUUAGGAUCUAUAGUUUUAGAUAAUACCUUUUCGCCAAAUGGAUUUCUGACCGGCUUAUGAUCUGGGAGCUAAAGACCACAGAUAUCUACUGGAAACUCCUGAGAAGGAUGGCCAGAAGGGAGGACGAACAGCUGCUACAAUGGAGGAACCACCGCUUGGAAAGAAUCACCCGCUAAGGUGGGAUAGCGCCGAUUGUUUUGAGUCUUCAGGGCGCGUCUGGUGUCGGAUUGAGGAGCGGUUUUCACCACUAGAUUCCUCUCUUCCAGGGCUUCAAAAUGAUAUGUAGAUCGCCUUCUAACUCCUUGUAUUUUGAGAGAUAUGAUCGUUUGAAGUUGAGCUUCGUGCUGAUAAUGUAUUAAGGGAAAAACUCAGAUCUUAUUAUUUCCAUAAGCAGUGUAUAUAUACAUUACAUAACUAAUGCAUCAGAAACCCUAAUGGGCCAUGAGACAUUAACCUGAUGGUUAAUGGGCCGGUUACUAGAAGUCCAUUUGUUUAUAACAGUUUUUAAGUUUUUAUUUGAGAAAAGGGUAGUUUUAAGUUUUAAUUAAUCAGGGUAGGGACAUACUUUCAUAAUGCCAAACUUACCCUUCUCUCUGAGAGAGAGAGAGGCAGAGUAGUCUGUUCCUUAGAGAGAGACAAACGCAGAAAAUACUGUGGGUCCCAGGCGUAGUCUACAUUCGCGCGCGUACAGCCGGGAAGAGAGCACUUACGCGCAUGAUUGGGUCGUUUUUUGGGCCUGAUUUCGAAUUUUGGAAUGAAAUUCCCAAAAACCACCUUACUGGGCCUCGGUUAUGGGCCGGAAACUACCCAACUCAUUACACGCAAAACUACCCUUCCCAUUCUCUUUUUAAUUUUGGCGGAAAAAAUUGUGGUUAAUUAGAGAUAAUGGAGAUAAAUUGGUUAAAAUAAGAAACAAAGUACCUUAACCAAAUUAGAAACCCUAGUUUCCUUUUCCAGAAGAUGUUGAAAUUGAAGGGGAAAUUAUGCGAUGAUCAAGAGGACAACAACCACGGUUAGUUACUUAAUCCUAUUAUUGUAUACCCAUAGAUUUGUCAUUGUUAUUUUCGAAUUUUUUUCGGUCUGGUGUUCGCUAUUUUCCAGUAGUUUUUUAGAUAUGGUGUUCGCAAAUUGCAGUGGAUGCAUUCAUUCUUGUAAUGGCGGGAACGUGGAUAAGGUACUAUACAGGAGAAUGAGAUUUCAAAAUGGACAUAUCUCGUCGUGGAAGGUGCAUAAAUUGCAAAGAUGUGUCCGGACCAGAUGAUUUGAGAAAUCUGAUUGCGCAUGAGUUCGGAUUAGACCCGAGAGUUGUUUCGGUGGAGAUUUCCUACUGGUUUGAUGAUGUUCUAGCUGAGCUUAAUGGUGAUGGGAGUUGUCCAUGUGUAAUAGUUACUCCUCGAGAGUACAAAUUCUUCCUUUCGCUGCAUAAGUCUGACAAGUCUGUGAAUUUAUUUGUCACAUUCAAGGAGUCAGUAAAUGGUAAAAUGGUGAGAUUGAAACAGAAAGAAAGUCUUGAAGUUCAAAUAGCGAGGGAACGGCAAAAGUCCUUAGGGCCAACAAACUUCAUAGCCUCUUCUUCGGCAGAGUCUAGUCAACCCGAUGAUGAAGCAGAUGAUGAAGAUAUCGAUGAUUGUUUGCUGAUAGCACAUGCCGAGAAAGUAGAGGCAGAGGCCGCAAUGAACACCUCCAAAGGUGUACAACUUGAAGCUGUCUCUGUUAUACAUCCUCCAUUGGGAUUAAAAAUAUCCCAGGAAUCAGAGAAAGCAGCACUAACACCUCCGUUAAUGUAAAACCUGAUGUUCCAAGUCACGCUGUCUCUGUUGACCACCCUGAGUUGGAAUUAAAAAUGUCCCAGGAAUCAGACGAGGUGAGAGAUUCGGAAAAGAAGGAAGCUGAUGAUGUUGACGAUGACGCAUACGGCUCUGAUGAUGAUUAUGAUCCGGAUUAUGAUUUUGACUGGUGGAAUGAUUACGUACUAGCAGAUGGUAAGGGUUUCCAUUCUAAACCUGGAUUUGAUGAGGAUAAGGAUGACUCUGGUAGUUCAAGGGGUUGUGGAAAUACUCGCGGAAGUGAGCCGAGUGAUUCAAACCAUAUGGACAACUCCAUUGUCUUAACGGAGAGUCCUAUUCAUUUUCCUGGAAGAAAGAGGACUGUAUGUGAGAAUGUUCUGGCUCCCCAUGGAGAUGAUGAUGAUUUUGUGCAGACUCCGACAGGUGAUGUCAGUUGGGGGCGUCAGAAUGGCGGUGCAGAGCUGAAAAAAGCGAUUAAACGUACAGAACUAUAUGGAUUUCCGGAUGUGGCACCAGUCUCUGAUGAAAUGGGAGGGGAUUUCGAUGAACUUGAUUUGUCAAAUGAAGAUGGAGAGAUAUGGGUUGGGAAAAAGUUCAGGAACAAGGAACACUUUAAAAUCACGUUGGCCAUCAAUGCGCUUAAGAAUGUAGUGGCGUUCGAAUUCAAAAAUCAUGCGAAGAAGUACACAGUCGCCGAAUGUCCAUCAAAGAUAUGUGAUUGGAGAGUGUUGGGGUGUCAAGUUGGCGAGUCUGCAUUGUAUGUGGUGAGGAAGGCAUGUUUGAAGCAUACAUGCUACCCGGAUACAAGAAAGAAAUUUUCUAAACAUGCUACUUCUAAAGUCAUGGCGGCCCUGCUGAAGUCUAAGUAUGAGAAUGCAAUAGUUAGGCCACGUGCGAGUCAGCUACCUGCGAUUUUUCUCUCCGAAUAUAAUAUUACAGCCUCGUACUGGAAAUGCUGGAAAGCUAAGGAGCUGGCUAUAUACUCUGCUCAUGGAACAGAGGAGACUUCUUUCAAAUUAUUACCGAUUUACCUCCAUGUGCUCAAGUAUGCUAACCCCGGCACCAUAACGCAUUUGUCAACCGAGAGCGAGAGAGUGAAAAAGAUGGAAAAUGUAUUACCAGGUUUAAGUCCGUAUUUAUGGCAUUGGCUGCGUGUAUAUCUGGAUGGAAACAUUUGAAACAAGUAGUUGUUGUUGAUGGGACUCACCUGACUGGUAAGUAUAAGGGUUGUCUAUUAACGGCCAGUGGACAAGAUUCUAAUUACCAGGUUUUUCCAAUAGCGUUCGCCAUUGUCGAUGCAGAGUCUGACAAGACAUGGAGGUGGUUCUUUGAGAAGUUGGUAGAAAUUAUUCCAGAUUCCUCUGAUCUUACUAUUAUCUCGGAUAGGCACGGUGGAAUUGCCAAAGCUAAAAAGAAAUGGUAUCUACAGUCACACCACGGUGCAUGUCUUGUCCAUAUCCAGAGAAAUGUUCACGGUAAAUACAAAGGUUCCGGUCAGAAAGGGUUGGUCGGAAAGGCUGGAGAAGCGUUCACAGUUUCUAAUUUCAAGAAACUAUACGCAAGGCUGAAGGAUGUUGAUUAUCGUUGUUGGGAGUACAUGGAAAAAAUCCCUCUUGCGAUGUGGACUAGAUCACACUUUUCUGGUCAGAGGUAUAAUAUGACCUCCAGUAACAUUGCAGAGUCUCUGAACAAUGCACUAUUCGCUGCAAGAGACAGUCCAAUCGUUGUAAUGCUAGAAUUUAUCAGGCGAAUGUUAAGUAGGUGGCUUGAAUGCAGAAGAGAGAAAAUUCAAAAGAUGGAUGGUGACAUUACAUAAGAAGUUGACAAGUUAAUGAACCUGCAGCAGCAAAAAUCUGCUGCACUAUCGGUUCAAGGCAUUUCUUUGUGGGAGGUUGAAGUGAGUUCUGAGUUCGGUGUACAGAGGCUUGUUGAUCUCCUAAACAAAACAUGCUCAUGUCUAGAGUUUCAGACAUUGAAAUAGCCUUGCCGACAUGCAAUGGCCGCGGCUAGGCUUCGGCAAGUGGAGUACAGCAGUUUGGUUGAUCCAAUUCUUAAGAAUUCAAUUUGGAGUGCAACAGUUUGUGGCAAAAUCCUACCAGUGCCCGACCCUGACGACAUUCGUAUCCCAGCAGAGGUGCGUGACCUUAAUAUUAUGCCACCUAAGUCAAAACGUCCAUCAGGAAGGCCUACGACGAAGAGAAAACUAUCAGCAGGAGAGUAUCCUCAGGUUAGUGUACACUAAACAAUUAUUUUUUUUCCCAGUCAUACUGAUUACUGAUUACUGAUUACUGAUAUAUGCUGUUGCAGGUUGCAAAAAAAAAGAAGCCAAACAAAUGCUCGAGAUGUGGAAAUGCCGGCCAUAACCGGGCAAAAUGCAAGGAACCAUUGGGUUGACCGGGUGUGGCUUUUGUGUGUCUUUUGUUGUGUGUAGGAAAGAGCGAGCCACAUUGUUUUUUGUGUGUCUCUUGUUGUUUUUUUGUGCGGAUCUCGCUUUGUUUUUUGGGUUUGUUUCUAGCGUACACUAUGUUUCCCUAUAUUUAAACUUGGAAAGGGAAACUUAUAUUUGUUAUGAAAUUUAUUAUGAAAUUUAUAUUUGUUAUAUUUGUUAUGUUAUAUUUGUUAUGAAAUAUGUUAUAUUUGUUAUGAAAUUUAUGAUGUUUACUGGACAGGGUAUACACAGUUUGUGUACACCCUUGACGGUGGACACAGUUUGUGUACACUGUGAUCUUGCUUUGUUUUUCGGGUUUGUUUCUAGCGUACACUAUGUUUCCCUAUAUUUAAACUUGGAAAUGCAUGAACUAUGUUAUAUUUGUUAUGAAAUUUAUGAUGUUUAAUGGACAGGGUGUACACAGUUUGUGUACACCUGUGACGGUAGACACAGUUUUUGUACACUGUGAUGGUGGACAACAUCAAUCAGUUUACAUUAUAUGGUGUAUUCGCAUUAUGGCUUAUGUAUAAGUUUACAUUUAUAUGGUGACACAUAAAUUUAGGUGUAUGCACGUUAUGGGUUUAGUGGACAGGGUGUACACAGUUUGUGUACACCUGUGACGGUGGACACAGUUUGUGUACACUGUGAUGGUGGACAACAUCAAUCAGUUUACAUCAUAUGGUGUAUUCGCAUUAUGGCUUAUGUAUAAGUUUACAUUUAUAUGGUGACGCAUAUAAAUUUAGGUGUAUGCACGUUAUGGGUUAUGUUUAGGGUUUAGGGUUUAGGGCUUAGGGUUUACGAUGUAGGGUUUAGGGUUUAUCUUAUUAAGGAAAUCAAAAUAAUUAUGAAAGACAUGGUUCUGGAUCAAAAUAAUUAUCAAAGACAUGGUUCUAUAGCAGAGAAAGAAAACAUUAUCUAGAAAACGGACAAUGAUCGUGUCUUUGAAUUGAAAUUGUAGGACAGGACAGCACGAAUAAACGGUUUUUUCAAAAAUCAAGUCAUGACGUUUUUGAAAAUCGCAAUAAUGAAAACAGUGUAUGAGGAAUAAACACGACACAAAAAAAAAUAAAAUUGGAAACGACAAAGACUAAUUAAGUACCUUUUUUGAAACCCGUUGCACCGUUUGACCGACUCGUUUCCCUUCUUUACUUUAUAAUGUUUUUCCUGUCGUCCUCUAUAAAAACUGUCCCCUGCCUUCUUCAGUGAAACAAGUUUCCGGAGACAGAAAAAGUUAAUUACAGCAAAAGUUAAUUACACAGAAAAUUAAUAGCUUCUAAAAAUGUACUCUGCCAAAGUGAUCACAUUGCAAUUGAAGGAAGUGGAGAGGAAAAACAGUUCAUGUUUCAGUACAGGUAUUUGAUGGUUCAUUUGAAAAAUAGGGGUUUAGUUUAGUUUUAGUAUUUGAGGAUCGGUCUUUUACAUCGUCUACCUAAUUAGUGUUUUGCCGAUUUCAUUAGGACCUGUGAGUGAGGACUUGUAUCACUGGGAAGCUAUCAUAACGGGCCCUAAAGGUUCACCCUAUGAGAAUGGUGUUUUCAAACUAGACAUUCACUUUCCGCUUGACUACCCUUUCGCGCCACCUAGGGUAAGGAAUGAAGCAUAUCAUUGCUUUUUCAAAUUGCUGUAUUUUUAGAGUUUUGGAUUUAGUCAAUAAAGAUUUCAAUUACUAAUAACACUGAUUUUUUUCAGGUGAUGUUCAAAACAAAAGUGUAUCACCCAAACGUUAAUACUUAUGGGAACAUUUUUCUGAAGAUGUUGAACCCAACUCACUUCAGGACCAACAACAGCAUCAAUGAUGUAUUUUUACUCAUGAAAGAAAUAAAUCGUUAUUGUGUUUUGCUUAAUAAUCUUAAUUCCAUUUAAAUUAGGGCUUAACUGUGUUUACAUGUAUAUGUAAACAGGUACUGACGGAAAUACACCAAAUGUUAACUGCCCCCCAAAUAGGGGAAGGACACUUUUUUGUUGAAGAAAUUGCUAGGAUUUACGUGGAAGACAGGGCUGCUUUUGAAACCACUGCACUUGCGUGGAAGGUGGAGCACGCCGGAGGAGCAUAAACUCCUAAAUUGUACUAUUAAUUUUGUUUGUUGAAUUGUGUUUUUUCUUUUGCAAAAAAAUAAGACCACUAUUUUGUUUGCGUGUUUUUCUUGAGAAGUUUAUGACUUAAUUUUAACUUUUUUACAUCAAUUUAUGCUUUUUAUGUUUAGGAUUUGAUAAAUUGUCCAAGGAUUUCAUGAAACAGAAGUCAUCGAAUAUUUAUUCAAAGAUUGUUCAUUACAUACUAAAAAGGAAAUAUAUGUGUACACUUCAUAUAGUCUACACAUACUCGUGUACACUUCAGAAGGUGUACACCAUAAACUUAUUUUUAAAGCAUUUCGCAGAUACGUCUAGCACACCAAUAUAUGAAGCAACCAUUGCAAAGUACUCGGAUCUCAGGUUCGAAAUGAUCAAAUGCACAAUCAGGCAGCUUGAUGACGUCGUCGUUUGGAUAUGAAAAUGAGUUUGAGUACGUAUCCAUGUAUGCAGUUCCGUAAUAUGAAAUCUCAAGAAUUAACUCCUCACCUAAUUGUCGCACGCACUCUGACUGUAGACUUCCGUGAUGCGUUGCCAACAGUUGCAAUGUUUGGCUUGCGGAACAAGGGUCACCCAAAAAAACGCUGAACAUGGCCGACGCCAGGGUCGAGAGAGCGUCGGUGGGAGCAUUUGGUUCCAGCAUGGUCCUACUUGCAAUGAGAUCUGCGCCUAUGGUUGCAAGUCUCAGGGCUUCCCAGUAUAUUGCCUCAGAGUUUCCACUGGCCAAACAUUUCAGAAAGAAUGGGCGUCUUUCCUUUCCAGGGCAUAUGUCGCUAGGGACACAGCAAAGGGCAUAAAUGUUGGAAGAUUUGAGGACAUCGUCGGUGAAAACAAGCCGGAGGGUGCGCUUUCCAGCGCGCACAAAUGGUCCAAGUCGCCAAAAUGCUUCACUGCCGAGCCUCUUGAGGAUUUCGAUAAGAAUUUCAUCAGGCAAGUCUGGGAGCGACAUGUUGGGUUUAGGGUUUGUUAUGUUUGGUUUAGGGUUUGUUUUCGCUGGAAAGGAGGCAAGUUUUGUUAAGACAAAGCAAAAUCAUCAUAUAUGGACUUCACUGGUGUGUGGUUGGGGGGUGGAGAAUUUAUUAUACGGUUGAAAAUAAUAUAAUAGUGUUCUCUCUUUUAGUAAAUAUUUCACCUAACCGUUUUGUACCCCCCCAUUUUUUAGAAUAAUGGUCAGUUCGCUUUUAUUAAAAUGCCUGAAACUAGUUAUAUUUAUAAUGUAGUGCGACGUGUUGGGGUCAAUUUAGCAGUUAUUGAAGUGGCUCUUAUCUUUAUACCAACCACGAAUUAGGACAUUUAUAUAUCUAUCCACCUUGUCUACAAAUAUAGCGAAUCAAAUUUAUUUUUCACCAAAGUUAAACAACAAUGCACUACUUAGACGAUGAUGUUUUAGGGUUAAUAGUAAAGAAACUAGCUGAGGAUGAUUCCUAUCAUCUUGGCCCCUUUAUUCGCGCAGGAAAACGUGGAAGAGCCAUCGCGUUCACCGAAGACGUGUUACGGUCUGCAGACAUCUCUCGAUUGGUUGACUCACCGACUGACGUAUCCCCUAACACCCCUUACCGCCCAUUCUUUGAGCGUUGUCUUGGAGCCUGUAAUCCACGAGCUAUUUAUUUUGAAGCCAUUAGAGUUGCCGUGAGUGAGCAAAGAUUGUAUUCAGCGAUUACAAUGCUUAACCGACUUGUCCCAUGUGAUAAACAUGCUACUUUCGCAUGUGCCAUGUUUGAAGUUUGCGUCGGUCAUCCACGAAGGGCUAAAAAACUCCUCACAUAUGUAUUCACUCUACACGUCCCUUAUGUGGCUAAUGAAAUGAAGCUGUUAGCGCAUGACGUUAUACGUCACGUAUGGGAGCUCGCUCGGGGGCCGUUUCAAGAUCCGUGGGGUAGCCUUUGGUCCUUCCCCAUCACUCUACAAGAAGAACCUAUAUCGGAGUGUGUAGAUGACCAUUACGAUGGCACAAAUACACCAGACUGCGAGUAUUGCAUUCUACAAUGCACGGCUCUGCGCAUAAGAUAUUUACUUUAGUUUAGUUAUUUUAAUUGCAAGUAAUUGUUUAAUUUUUGUAAUAAAUUUAAGGUAGAAAGUAAGUGAACAUCACUUCACAUACUUAUUGUAACAAGUAGCUACUAAGAACUUAACUAGUUGUAACAAUGUAAUUACUAGUUUAAUUCUUGUAGUUGGUAAACAUCACUUCACAAACUUACUGUAAUAUUACUGCUGUUCAACUACACACUAAACCCUGCAACUACUAAUUGUCUUACCAUUAACUAUUUCUCAACAACAAUUAUCCAUCGAAUUCAAUAUAUAGUUUCAUAAAAUUGCGAAGAAAGUUCACCCUACACAAACCUUAUAACCUUCCCAAAAAAUGCCAGAUUUACCAGAUCAUAUUUUCGAAAUCAUUGUCAAGAAAGUUGCUGAGUCUGACUGCAUCUACCUUGGACUGAUUAUUCUGGCAGAGACCCGUGGUAGAGACAUUGUGUUUAGCGCAGAAGUACUCAGAUCGGCAUACCUAUGGACAUUGCAUGACACACCAUCUCGGAUAUACCUUGGUGGAGUAUAUCGGCCUUUAUUCCUGCGCUGCUUAGCGUCGAGAAAUCCACAGGACAUAUUGGUCGAAGCGAUAAGGUUCGUGUCAACAGAGAAGAAGAUCUAUACCGCCAUCAGGAUGCUAAAUAAGCUCGUUCCAUCAGACGUCUAUGGCACUUACAGCUGUGCCAUUUUGCAAAUGUGCGUGGGUCGCCCUAACAGAGGGAAAAAACUUCUAAAGAUGGUUUUCAGGUACCACUAUCCUCAUGAUUCUCGUGAAAUUCGUGAAGUCGCCGAAGAUAUAGUAUCCUUAUUCUGGUCAUUUUGCCCACGUAAUAAACAUACAUACAAAAAAAAACCCUAGUCUCAUUCAUGAAGACACCUCUGCGUCGUGCGAAGUGUAUCACGAGAAUUUGCAUUAUAUUGUUAAAUGUGAAAAAUGUUACCUUAGAUGUUCGGCAGAACGCAUAGCAAAAAUGCUUUAGUAUCGAUGUGCUAUGGUCGCAUGUCGCUUGUUUUUAAAAUUCUAAUACUUCAAUAUAUUUUCCCAUUGUUGUGGUUAUUUCAAAAAUAAAUAUGAAGUUUAAAUACAGCCUUAUGUCUAACAGCCUUAUGUCCAAAAAGGGUUUACAAUCCCGUAUACCAAUGUUGGUGUACGUUUACGAUCCUGUAUACCAAUGUUGGUGUACGUUUACGAUCCCGUAUUCAUCAUUCUUUAAAAAUGUGUAAUGUUAUUUUAUUUUCAACCAGUUUUAUGUUUCCAAUCUAUAUCUGAUCCCGUUUACGUAAGUAGGUGUACGUCUAUAGGUAUACGGUAUUAGGUAUAUGUAAGUCGGUGUACGACUACAGGUAUACGUAAGUAGGUGUACGUCUACAUGUCUAUAGGUAUACAGUAAUAGGUGUACAUAAAUAAUUACAGUGAAUAGGUGUACAUAAUUAAUUGCUGUCCUAGAUGAAAUGAUAUCCUGGCAACUUUCAUUUUGAUUUUGGGAAAGGCUAAAUUCUCCAUAUAUAAAAAAAUUUUAAACAGCUUUAUGAUUAAUUACUACAUUUACGAACAUAAGUACUAUAAAUAUCAUAAAAUCAACUACUAAUUCUCCGUCGAUUAUGUUUAUACAAAAGUAAGAGUUGCAACUAAAAAACGAAAGUAAACAUGCAAUUUCAAAAACAUCAGUUGUAGUUCGGAACACUAAGACAACAUAAAUAAUUAAAGAGACACGAAUGCAACAAAAUACAAAGAUUACGGCUUUUACCAAUCGAGCAUGAACGGCCAGCUUGGAACGACGUUCCUAAUGAAGCGGAAGAACCUUUGGGUCUCUUGGGCCCAGAAACAGGUUGUGCACUUUGGCUGCUUAAAAUCUUCUGCAAACCACUGGAGCCAGUAAUUGAUAACCCCGCACUGACAGGUGUACAGCGCAAGGAAUCUCGGAUGAAAGGCAGCCGCUUUCUCAGUGAAAUCCACUGGAAAAUCGAAAUUCCAUCCGUGUGGAACGUCGGCCAGCAACAACCGGCUCAUCCUCCUCCGAUUUUGCACCGUGAGCCUGCCCAAAUACUCCUCUGCACGGACGAAGUCUUCCGGCACAGCUCUGAGCCACAUCCCGUACACAAAAAGGGCUCGGUCGUAGCCUCCCUCCGCAGCAGCCCUUAUCAAUUCCACGCCUUCACCAUCGUGGAAGAAAAAGUAGGCUUGCAUCCCACUUUGGGAAAUAACCCCUGGAUUACCCGCGUCAUAGAAUCUCCUCAUCAUCGUUGGAUAAUGUGGAACCGCCGCUUGUUCAUGCAUAAUUUCGGCGGGAUCAAUCGCUCGAUAGAAACCCCUGCUUGUGCCGAUACGGUUGAAACGAGAACAAACAGCACGGAGGCGGGCUAUUUCCCUUAUAGUUGGGUUUGUAGCGGCCAAAAUUUGUUCCAGCAAUUCAUCAGGGAGUGAGAGAAGAUAGGAAAAAUCACCAUCACCACCUCUGUUUCUCCUUGGAACCAUCGUUUAUUUCGAUGAAAAGAGAAAAGAUAAGAAAAUGGAUUGAGGAAGAGGAGAAAGGAUUGAAAAUGGAAUGAAAGAGAAAGUUAUGAUGGUUCUAAGUAGGCAUUUACGGUGAAGGGAUUGAAUUUAAAGAGGUAGUGCGGUUUUAAUAGAGCCGAAUAGCUGUCUUUGAAGAGAGACGUUGAAAAGAGACGAAAAUGUGUCUUUUCGUUUACCGGCAAAAUUAAAUUACCACAGUAAAUACAGAGAAUUACCAAAUCAAAACAAAUUUCACCAUUAAACUUUUUUGAUGAAUGAUUUAAUUUAAUUUUUAAUAUACCACAAUACAUUUAUGAUUUCUGCGACAAUACUAUUACUAUUUAUGAUAUUAUCAAAAUUUCAUUAACAACCCAGCCCUUUUUUUAAUUGUUGGAAACUAUAUUUCUUGUCAUCAUUACAGAAGUUUUCUCAACAUCACGUUAACCGAGAUAUAGAGUACAGAUUGAGUCCACAUAGACGAAAUCAUGAUUUUUUAAAAAAAUAUGCGUUCAGAAAUAGGUAAGGUGAGACUUUAAAUAAAUAAUGUCGUUUGUAUAUCCAUCUUCUCCGAAAAUUCCCACAAAAGAGAUAAUGUCGUUUGUAUACUCAAAAUAUAUAAUAUGUGAUAAAUGUAACAUUCAGGUGUACAAAUUUAGGUGUACAUAUUGAGUCCAGAUUGAGGUGUUCAUUUUUUUUUCUUGUUAUUAGGCGUACACAGAGAGGUAAACUGAGACUUUAAAGAUAUAAGAGAAUGCUUCUCGAAAAACUGCCACUAACACCCACCGAAAUUAAUUAAAGUCAACACAAUUAAAGUAUACAUAGAUAGAAAGCAAAAAAAAGUACACCUACAUACAUACAUACAUAGUAGGCCUAAAUAAAAGAUUAAAUCAUAAAGUACGAAAUAUGGAAUCUAAUCGAUUACAUAAACUAAAAAAAAAUAUUCGCGGAUGCUAAUCAAUUCGAUGAAUUCUGAAAUAACAGCAACGCCGAGGUGUACACAACGCAGGUGUACACACCGAGGUGUACACACCGAGGUGUACACACCGAGGUGUACACACCGAAACUGGUUGACUUUCACCAAUUAGUCACCAUUUUUCCAUUGACGGCCUAGACCACACUGCAUACCAAACAAAUACGAAGAACUUUUGCGUUUCCUGUGCCCAGAAACACGACGUGCACAUGCUUGGCCCCUUUAACAAUUCGUCAUGCCAAUCAAGUUGAGCGUUGGCAACACCACAGCGACAAGACCAAAGUGUGGCAAACUGAGCAUUAGUCUCAAAUCUCCUCUUCGAGAACUCUUCAGGCAAAUUAUUCACAUAACCACGCUCACCUCCACCAAUAAUUUUCCGAAUUAUUCUCCUCAUUGCCCCGCUGCCUAGUUUUGAAAGAUACUCUAAACCCACGGGGUCUUCGACCACUACUUUCAUGUACAUGCCAUACAUGUAAAUACAUGUUUCGUAUCCCAUAUCUGCAGAUUCCUUGAUGAGUUUUAAGCCACAUUUGUCUCCACGGCAGAAGUAGUCUUGCAUCCCCUUCAUGAACAGCAAACCUGGAUUGCGUGCGUUAUACAUCCUCCUCAACAAGUUGGGAAAUUCCCAAAAUGCGAUAAAAGGCAUAUCGAAAUCUUCGGGAAUAGGUAUCUCCAAUUCCACGGGAUCAACCGAUGCUAGAAAAUUUUUGGUUAAAGUGCAGGCCUGGAACCGUUUGCAAACUUGCUACAGUGUGAAAAUUUGUUGGACGGAGUUAUAACUGUAUGCGAGAACCUUCUCCAAUAGUUCGUCGGGAAGCACCAUCAGAGGGGAUUGACAAUCACGGAUAUCCGCAUCACAUCGCCCUCUCUUUGGUGCCAUAGUUAAUUUGUGAGGUUGAAUUGUGAUGAAAACGGUUGUUUAUGAAGAUGGAAUAACUGCGGUUUAGGAUUUGUGAGGAUAACAGUUGUUUAUGUUGCAUAUAUAUAAUAAUAAAAAAAUCCCACUAAAUGAGCGUAUACGUUAAAUGCGGUUACCGUUAAGAUUGUAAAUGAGUUUGUAAAAUUAGUGGAUAAAACAAAAAUUUCCUUGUUGUACACCCAUUUGAAAAUGGAUAUUGGUGUACAGAUACAUAUUAAGCCGGGAACAAAGUAUUCACACACCAAUUAAUAAAUACUAAAAUAAAGUAAAUUAUAAAAAAAAAAUUUCUUGAUGUACUCCCAUUUGAUGCAUAUUGGUGUACAACUCAACGCAUAUUGGUGUACGGAUACGAAAUUAUUCCAGGAACUACGAAUUGACACACCAAUUAAUAGAUAGUAAAAUAAACAAAAUUAUAAGCAUAUAAAUUAUGAAAUAAACCCACAUCCUAAACAUUAUCAAACUUAUAAUCCAACAAAUAAAACUUUCAUAAAUUGUCAAGUUCAACAUUAAACUUCACCAUUCGUCCUAAGCGUUGGCAACAGCCGGAUUCCCGACAAACUCUUCGUAUGAGUCCAUGGCGUAUUUCUCCCUUAACCUGUCAACGUCAUCGUCCGUUAUCAAACCCAUAUCCUCCACUCCAAGCCCUGCAGCAUGCAUCUCUAAGAAUUUAGCCGCACAUGGCCCACAGUCACCGGAUCUUUUGUUCUGAUAUCCCCCCAAACGACUCCAUGUGUAAGGGGUGGUGCGUAGGCCUUCCGUUAAUUUGCUAUCCAAAUAACGCUUCAAUAUAAAAGGCAUACUUUGACACACGGGCGCCAUAUACUGCUCCACAGCCGCUUCAUCAUUAUGACUGAUGAAUGAGUCCAAAAUCUUUAUGUUUCCCAUUUUACAGUCAAUUACAAGGCCCACCCAAUGCUCAGACCCCCAGUUCAUCGGGACGUAUACAACGUCCACAAACCGUAGAAACAUUUGCCUCUGCCGCUGAUUAGCUCACUUUGCAGGUUUUCCCAAUACAAUGCCCUGAAUGGUUUUCCUCCCAGUAGUUGCCGAUGAUGGAUAUGAACAAGGUGUCUACAAAUGCUACCCUGUCUUUCAAGUAUAUUUCACCUCUACGUCUCCAAAGCAUGGCUAUUAUGACUUGCAUGUGCUGACGAAUAACAAAACAUAAAUAACAUAUAUUACAGAUAAUUAAAGAUUGAGUAAGUACUAACUAUAUACUUACCAUCGUGUUAACCCACUCAGUAGGCUUCGCAAUUUGUAGGAAGAAUUGAUUGUUGACAGUAUGACGAGUGACAAUGCAAAAGUCGCUGUAAUGAGAUCAAUUAAUAAUUGAUAACAAUGAAAGUUUAAGGAUAAAUUGCUUUCAAUACGAUAUAACUUACAUGUUUCUUUCACGCGAUAAUAACUCCUGGAAUGCCUUGAAGUGGUCUUGUUCCACUGUUUCGAGUGGUUUGUACGCAGCUUUCGAUCUGGAUACAAAUAGAGCUUUCACCUUUGAAUCUGCGGUGUAAAUAUCUCGAAUCUUGUCCGACCGUACGCGUGCGCGUUUUCCUCUACCUCUUCCGCCUCUUCCUGUUCCUCUACCUCUUUCUCCUCUUCCUGUUCCUCCACUUUUUCUCUUUACAUCAGACGAUCCCUCAACUUCUUAUGGGGGUUUUGGAGUACAAGGGGUCUUUCUGCGAAGCAUCACUUGCAUCCUCAGGCGCAGUAUGGUAAUCUUUCCCCGCAUUUGAGUCGUCCUCAUUAGCCACAGCCUACACACCACCGUAACAAUAGAGCGUAUAACAUAUCAAUCGUAUACCUAGCGUAUACCUAAACACUACUGUAUACACAUGCAUAUCAUAUGAACAACUUUAAUGUCUGACCUGUGCAUCCUACACAUCUGUCUGCGCUUCAUUUUUCUUAUAUGCGUAGCUCAAUGGGUGAGGAGUCUGAGGUUUGUAGACUACUAAGGUGCCUGACACCAAAUUUGUUCUACCACCAUCCACCUGAAUAAGUCAUAAAAAACAUAGCACAAUACACACACGUUAUGAAACUUAAUAGAGUCAGCUGCUGACUAAACAAUUAGCUCACCUCGUUGAGGCCAGAAGGUGGAUCUUCAUUCGGAUUGACAAAGUAAGAAGGUGGACGAGUUGUUCCUGAAUUGGCUUGUUCAGGUUCAGGGGUCUUCGUCGGAGCUUCUGGAGUCUUCAAGUACGCAUGGUCCCUGGGAGAAUAAUGGUCGCCGCCGUAGUAAAUAGAGGUCCCUUCUUCAUCAUCUCUUUCUUUCUCGUGUACACCAUCUUCGGGGUGUACACCAUCUUCGGGGUGUACACCAUCAUCAUGGCGUACACUAGACUGUGCACCAUCAUAACCUCCUUCUUCACCUCCAUCUUCGGCUUCGUCUUCAUCCGGUUUUUGACCAUCUUUUUUUGGAUUCUGUCCUUCGUCAUCCUGUUCCCCAUCUUCUUUUGACUGGUGUACAUCGUCAUCUUCUUCGUCCUGUUGGUAUACGCCCAAUCUCUUGUCCAACUUUGUCUUAAUCUUACGAAGGAGCAAAUUAUUCUGACUUACUAUCCAUCUUUUAAGAUCUUUAAUUUGUCCACUUUCAGGGGUUUCAUCUUCCGAUAUAUUAGAAGAGUUCUUGCCCCUGCCUCUCUUCCUCUGCAUCUGAUGUUUUUCAGUUUGAUGAGUUUUCAGUUUCUUCUUCGGUCGGGUGGAUGGCUCAGGUUCCUGUUCAUUGGUAACCUCGUCCUCUGCAUCACUAAUAUCCACGAUAGGUGUCGGUGCCACUGCAAAAUCCGAAGGUGUGAUUUUGUACCCCUCGGCCAUGAGUUCCUGCAUGAAUGCAACUUCGGCAUCCUCUACCUCAUCUCCCCAACGCAAUUCAUUCUGUUGGUCAUUGUCACCAUCAUCCACUACCAUCUGUUUGACAGACAACUAAGACAAAAAAAAAACAAUUGCAAAAUUACCAACCAAAAUGACAGAGCACUUAUCUUUUAAGACAAGUACUACAAAAUAAGACUACAAAUAGUACUAAAUAUAAUACUACAAGAAAUUUACCAGAGGGUCGGAUUCCACGGCAAGUAUGUCUCAAGAUGCAAUAGUGUAAUAACGUUUUGACAGCCUUCGGGAUCUUCAACGAAUGUCUUCAAGUUAUCAGGUUGAGGAAUUUUGGAAACCAACAUUGGUAUAGAUUGGAGGGCCAUGAGUUGUAGUGAUAGAGGGAAUCCAUAGCAUGCACUGGUUUUCUGUUUAAGUUGACGGUGCAAUCGUGUUACAGGAUUCUCCCUUUUCUCGGCAUCCGUGAUUGCCUUUGAAGCUUGAAAACGAGAUACUGUUUUGUUAAAGGAUACCCUCCCCCAUGGAUACAGCAUGAACCUAUCCAAGUCAGUCAACAUCUCAACGUAUUUGUCGGUGAGGGCCAGAUUUUUGCUAUUGCAAAACAGAACACCGUCGACAAGAACGAUUAGGGCCAAUGGAAGCCGUUUCCAUCGGGGUAGAUCCAGGUUCUUUAGCAUUCAAGCACAUCAAACACGUUCAUAGCCUUCGCUCUUCCGAACAGGUCUUUCCAGAUUCCUGUCUUUCCGACAUCUUCUUCUUCUUCUGUGCUAUCAGGUUCGGGAUUGCAAUUCAAUCCAGUGAUUUCCUUAAACUCCCGUAUCGAAUAUCUCAGAGGCUGUCCACCAAAGAGGAACCAAAUCUCGUGUUUCUUCGUGGUCACAAGUUGUCGUGAUAGAAGGGCAUGGACUAGUUUGGCGCUGUUGCAACAUCUUGCAACAGGUAGAUGGAAUAACUUCCCAAACUGGGAAUGAAGUAGCUUCUCAAGAUCAUCAGUACCCUUUAACGCCUCGACAAGGAGGCCAAUGACAUUGGCCUUUGAAUAUAUGUUCAACCGAGCACCAACGGGGUAGCAACUAUCGCCGAGGACCCUUUUUGGUAGUUUUUCCGAAAUAUUGUUUGAAGAUUCUCCAUCUUCCAUGCCUGUAUUCGAAGGUUCUCCGUCUUCCAUUCCUGUAUUUGAACCAAAACAACAAUUCCGAAAUGCAGGAAAGAUAUAAUAGUCUGGAUAAACAGUUAAAUGCAAACCAGGGGAAAAGUUUGAGGGAAAGGAGUUCGAAGGAGUUCGAAAGAGAGAACAGAGAUCUGGAAAAACUACCCUAUUCGUAUGCUCUCCUAUAUAAACUUCUGUAACUGUUUCUAGAUGAUAUAAGAGUAAUCCAACCGUUUGAAUUCAAUAUAUAGACAUAAGUACUAGAGUUCAUAACCGCUAAUAAAUAUAUCAGGCCAGUCAGGCGCCCCGUUUCAAUCUUAAUUUGAGUUACAAACCGCCAGUACAGUUAAGACAAGGUCGAAGUUCAUAAAUGUAACUUACUUUUAGAAUUCUGAGCAGGUCAUUCUAGAAGAAGAGGAGCGAAUUGUACUUUGGAUCUACACCGCCGGCGUGGAUUGAGACGACUCGCGUGAAUGGGAUGUUCAACCCGGUCACUCCAUCGCCGUGGCAUGGGCGGUAUGGGCGAGUGGUCCGUCGGAGCUGUCUUCGAGUUACUACGGAGCACUCGCCUCGACACCGGAGGCACGGUGUUGUUGCGCCUUAACGAUUUUUUUACUUUCCGCGCCAUUACAACGGUCAAUCGGAUGACUAAUCGGAGAUGGAUUGCCGGAGAUGCUAGAUGGACUACGUCCAGAUGUGGAUCCCAAAUUUAAUUUUUCAUUUAAAUAUUGGGGUGUCGAUAAAUUAUUCAUUUGGUUUUACUUCGGUUUAUGAUAUUGGACUUCGAUUUAUAAUUUUGUGUAAUCGGUUUACCAAAUCGGAUUUAAUCAAAAAAUUUUAGUUAUUUUACUUCGAUAAUGGCAAUUUGAAAAUAAAAAUUGCCUUAGGGCCCUUGUGGGAAGACAAACAGUAAAAACAGCCCUAUCCUUCCAUGGUUUUCAAAACAUCCUAUUCCUCUAAUUUAAAACUUAAAAACUACAUUCAGCAAUUUUCUCGUCAUUUUAAACCAUAACAACCAUUUACAUUAUCUUAUUUUAUAUUUAAAAAUAUUAUCCUAUACUACUAUGUUUAUAUAUUUGCAUAAUUCACAAAUUUAAUAUAUAUGCAUAAUGUAAAGUAUAAUAAUAUUACAACUAUAUUUUGAGGCAUGUUAUCAUUGUCAUAGAUGCAUUUUUAGUUAUAUAAUGAUAUUACAAAUAUUUAUUAAUAUAUUAUGUAUGUAUUUUAAUAAUGUAUUGCGUUAAACAAAUCACAAAAAUAUUUGACAAAAAAAUCAAAGCUAAUUAAUCAUAACUAUCAUAUAAUCUAUACUUAUAUCUAAUUAAUUUUUUAAAUAUAUUAUUUUCUGAAAUAAAUCUAUAUAUAAAAAAAAAGAUAAAUCUCACUCCGUGCAAGGCGCGGAUUACUACCUAGUCCUAAAAUAUAAUUAACAUGUUGUUUAUUUUACUUAAUGUUGAAAUUUCAUUGAACACCAUCUCUAUACUUUCAACAGCAUUUUACGUUUAAAUGUUUUCAAAUGUAUUGUGGUACUAUCUUUAAUUUUAUAAUAACUACCAAAGAUUAACUAUAAUUUUUUUUAUAAAUUUUGUACUACUAAACAUGCAUAUUUUUAUUUGAAUAAUCAAAUCUACAAGUAACAAUCUUCUAUUGAGUUUACGAUAUGUAAGAUUAAUAAUUUUACUAUUAAAUUCAUGCAUGUAAUUUAAUAAGCAAUUCGCUAAUAUUUUUAAAUAUAAUAUUAUUUUUAUUUAAAAAAAUCUAAGAAAAAUAUGAACAAAAAUCUAAGAUCAAUUAAUAAAAUAUUAUUAUUUUAUAUUAUUAAUUUAUAGAAAUUUAUAUUAUUAAUUUAUAGAAGUGCAAUAGAUUGUUCGGAAUUGGUGAAAAUGAUGUCGAUACUAGAGAGAUGGCUAGCGUUUGACUUAUACUUGGAGAAGAUUGUGAAAUGGGAAGACUUUCACGUUUUUCAAUUUUACACGUUUCACGUACGAAGGAUACGAAAAUGGACAAUUUAGCACAAAAUGCAUAGAUCUAUCCUCAAGAUGUAAACUCGGUAUCUUCGGUUUGGACAGAUUAGAUUUAUUAUUUUACAAAGACACAUUAAAAAAAAAAACCUUUGUGUCAUGUGUGAUUUACAAUUGUGUCAUGCCGAGGUGUCAAAUUCAGAGAGAUUCUCAGAAUUAUAUUAAAAAUGGUCUCUAAUUGCUAGAAUAAUUACAAUUGUGCCAUUUUAAACCAUAACAACCAUUUACAUUAUCUUAUUUUAUAUUUAAAAAUAUUAUCCUAUACUACUAUGUUUAUAUAUUUGCAAAAUUCGCAAAUUUAAUAUAUAUGCAUAAUGUAAAGUAUAAUGAUAUUACAAAUGAUAGAAGACCAUCCUAGGAUUGUCACACACUUGGUUCGGUGGAGGUUGAUAGAUCCUUGGAUCCAUUCCGGUUCGGUGGAAGAGAUGCUAAGGCGUGAGCGAGAGCUCGAAAAUCCUUAGGCCCAAUUCCAAAGAAGAGGUUGGAAACGAGGGGAUGGACGAAACGAUCAAGGGGGUUGCGAUACCGGAUGUUAGGGUGUGAGACGAGUCCCGAAAUUCUCUAAGCCCCAAAUAUGACUACAACUCUCUUUCUCACUUUGGAAUCGAAGGCUGCGUCAAGCAGGAUGAAACUACUUGAUAAACCGAAGAUCGAGCAAUGGCUAACCACCAAAAUAUUGACAAAGUUCUUAGAGAACAAAAGAGAAAACUCAAAGAGAAAAUUUUAUAAAACGAUAAGUCAUGUGGUUCUGAAUACAUCGAUUCCUUUAUAUAGAGGCUAAAAGGAAGACCAUAGGUCAUUACAGAAAUUAAAGGACAUUAAAUGAAACUAAAUGAGACUAGAUGAGUUGAAUAACGAUUGGAUUUCCGGAUGACCCUUCGCGUCCUCUCGCUAGACCUUUGAGCUCCUUGACCGUUAUACUUUGGCCGCGAAUCGAACUAUGGUCGUGAGAUGGGCGUGCAUUAACCUCGUUAAAACCCCAUUCGGAAAACCCAGUGGGACAAAACCGAAUGUAAGGAAAAAGAGUAUUAACACAACACUCCAACCAGGUCAGUUCGGACCAGAAUACAUGAGCACGGUCAUGACUUUGUGAACGGGUGUUAGAUCGUCAGCUCGGCCUUGGGUCUUUAGCUCGGUAAGAACUUGUUGGAUUUCUCCCGUGAGCUUCUUGGUACGCGACCUGGUCAUCGGUCCAGUUGGCAUGGCCAGGACGUCGUUCUGGUUGGCUCCUCGGUCUUGUACCCCGUCCUGAACCUCGUCUUCGUUUAGCUCGGCCACUUGGUCUUGUGUUCCGGGCUGAACCUCGACUUGUUCCUCAUCCUGAGCUCCUAUCGGUUCCAUGAUUCUAUCAUCCCCCCGUCUUGAAAAGGACUUGUCCUUAAGUCGGCUUCAUCUGCGUGAAAAGGAAUGAUAUCAGCAAUGUUGAAACUUGAACUGACUGAGUACUUACCUCGGAGAUCGAUCUUGUAGGAGUUAUCGUUAAUCCGCUCUAGGAUAGUGAAUGGUCCGUCCACUCUUGGCUUUAACUUAGACUCCCUUUCUUCCGGAAACCUUUCUUUCCUUAGGUAGAUCCACACUUGGUCUCCGGGCUCGAACAUCUUUUUGGUUUUUCCUUUGUUGGCGUACUUCUGAAAUUGCUCCGUUUUUCUUUCGAUGUUUUGCCUUGCCUUUUCAUGCAUCUUCUUCACCAGAUCGGCUUUCUUUUUCCCGUCCAUGUUCUCACGCUCAGUCAUUGGUAAAGGGGUUAGAUCCAAAGGUGUAAGAGGAUUAAAACCCUAAACUAACUGAAAUGGUGAAAACAAAGUUGUAGAAUGAACAGCUCGGUUAUAAGCGAACUCAACAUGAGGCAAACAUUCCUCCCAAGUCCUAAGGUUCUUUUUAAUGACCGAUCUCAAAAGAGCUGAGAACUCCGAAAUGUCCCAUCAAGCCUCCUCCGUGUGCUUCCCUGACAAUCAAGUCACGCAUAGAAGUGUUAGGUAUACACAGUUUAUGCUCAUAAAACAAGUAACCAUCACUCUGGUAGUAUUUGCCAUAGGCAAACUUAGAACUGGCGCGGUAAACUUCUUGGAAAUCCGGGUCGGUUGCAUAGGCUUCCUUGAUCAUCUCAAAUCCAAGUAUCUUGGCAUCAAGCGUCGAGAUUAGGGCAUAACGUCGGGAUAGUGCGUCCGCCAAAACAUUCUCCUUUCCUUGCUUGUACUGAAUCACAUAAGAGAAGGUCUCGAUGAACUCGACCCAUCUCGCAUGUCGCUUGUUCAGCUUCUGUUGUCCUUUGAGAUGCUUUAAGGACUGGUGAUCGGUAUGGAUGACGAACUCUUUGGGCCACAAAUAGUGUUGCCAAGUCUGGAGAGCUCGGACCAAAGCAUAAAGCUCUUUGUCGUAGGUCGGGUAGUUAAGCGUUGCUCCUCCAAGUUUUUCGCUAAAAUAAGCGAUAGGUCGCUUCUCCUGCAUGAGCACGGCUCCAAUUCCCACUCCGGAUGCAUCACACUCGAUCUCAAAGGUCUUGAGAAAAUCGGGCAGAGAGAGUAAAGGUGCGUGUGUAAGCUGGUGCUUGAGGGUAUUGAACGUUUCUUCCUGAGCUCGUUCCCAUUUGAAUCCUACGUCCUUCUUGAUGACCUCGGUGAGAGGGGCUGCGAUCGUGCUGAAGUCUCGGACGAACCGCCGAUAGAACCCGGCCAGACCAUGAAAGCUGCGAACUUCUCCAACCGUCUUGGGACUUGGCCAGUCUCGGAUAGCCUUGAUCUUUUCCUCGUCCACCUGUAUACCCUGUGAACUGACAACAAAGCCUAGGAACACCACGUUAUCCGUACAAAAAGAGCAUUUCUUAAAAUUUCCGAACAAACGUUCCUUCCUAAGGACUUCUAAUACUUGUUUUAGGUGGUUCACAUGUUCCUCUAGACUCUUACUGUAAAUCAGGAUGUCAUCAAAAUAGACUACUACAAAGACGCCUAUAAACGACCUAAGCACAUGGUUCAUUAAUCGCAUAAAGGUACUAGAUGCGUUAGUUAGGCCGAAUGGCAUGACCAACCAUUCAUACAAACCAUCCUUGGUUUUGAACGCGGUCUUCCACUCAUCUCCUUCCUUCAUUCGGAUCUGAUGGUAACCACUCUUUAAAUCUAUCUUUGUGAACACACUUGACCCAUAUAGUUCAUCUAGCAUGUCAUCAAGACGUGGGAUUGGGUGGCGAUACUUUACCGUGAUGUUGUUGAUAGCUCGGAAAUCAACACACAUUCGCCAAGUUCCAUCCUUCUUAGGCACUAAGAGCACGGGCACGGCACAAGGACUUAGACUCUCGCGGAUGUAGCCCUUGGCCAUCAGUUCGUCGACCUGACGUUGGAGUUCCUUGGUCUCAGUCGGAUUGGUGCGGUACGCAGGUCGGUUAGGUAAGGACGCUCCAGGGACGAGGUCAAUCUGGUGUUCAAUACCUCGGAUCGGUGGUAGUCCGCCUGGAUUGUCUUCGGGAAAUACAUCCGCAUAGUCCUGCAAAACCCAAGAAAUCCUGCUCGGAAGUUUCGGCUCGGAGUUUGACGUGCUAGCCAAAGCGGAUUUGAACAUAAGCAAGAUGAAAGGUUGCCUCUCAAGCACAGCCUGUUUUAUCUCUCUCGGCCUCACAAAAAGAGUCUCUCUUCUCACGGGUUGAGUGUUUAAGGCUUUUUGUGGUGGCUCACUCAGUGUUUCACUCUCAUUUUUAGUGGAGGUGUUUAGGGGGUCGCUCAUGGUAGCUUUGCCUUUGUUACUACUUUCCAAUUGGAUUUGAUCCAGAUAUACCUCGUGUGGGGAUAAAGGCGCCAGCACGACCUUCCGUCCUUGGUGUUCAAACGAAUGUUUAUUGGUGAACCCGUCAUGGACUGCUUUCCGAUCGAACUGCCACGGCCGUCCUAACAGGAUGUGUCCGGCCUCCAUGGGUAGAACAUCGCAUAACACCUCGUCUUCAUAUCGCCCAAUCUUGAAUGGGACGGUGACUUGCUUGGUAACCUUGAGUUGCUUUUGGUUGUUAAGCCAUCUGAGGUUGUACGGAUGCGGAUGUUUGAUGGUUUGCAUCCCGAGCUUCUCCACCAUGCUCUGGCUCGCCACAUUUGUGCAACUCCCUCCAUCUAUGACCAUGCUGCAGGUCUUCCCCAUGACUAUACAUCUUGUGUGGAAAAGAUUUUCCCUUUGAUCCUCUUCUCGGACCGGCUCUUGUGACACUAGCACUCGCCGUGCUACCAGUAGCUCUCCUCCAGCCGCAUACUCCUCCUCGGGCUCCUCAUUAUAUUUUGGCUCGGAUUCGUUUUCUGCCUCGGACACGACCUCUCCGGUGUCUAAAAGAAUCAUAGCUCUCUGGUUUGGGCAUUUAUUCGCAUAGUGACCCUUGCCUCGGCAUUUGAAGCAUUCGAUAUCUCGAGUCCGGGCUGAGUUGACCUCGGCUUUGCCUUUGAGGUCGGUGCUUUGACCGGGCUUGGCUUCGAACUUUGGCCGUGUCGGGUAGACCACCUUGUCGUCUCGGUAGGUCGGUCGCGAGCUAGUUCCAGCAGUGAACCGAUUUGUUCCCUUGCGUCUGAGUUGUUGCUCCAAGAGGAUUGCCUUAUGUAACAUCUCGUACAUGUCUUGGUAUUCUUGUAGUUCUAUUCGGUCUUGGAGAUCUCGGUUUAGACCGCUCAAGAAUCUUGCCAUCGUUGCGUCCUCCGGUUCAAAGACAUCAGCUUUGAUCAUAAGCCUCUCCAUCUCCUGGUGAUAGUCUUCCACAGACUUGGUUCCUUGAGUAAGACGUCUGAGUUUGGUGUGUAACUCACGUUGGUAAUGCGCGGGCACGAACCGUUGCCUCAUCAAGGCGGCCAUUCCUAGGUUUCAACAGGUCGUUCUCCGUUUCUUCUUCUACUGAUCACAAUCUGAUCCCACCAAUCGAUCGCGUAUCCGUUGAACUCUGAUGCAGCUAGGUUUAUCUUCUUCCUCUCCGGAAGUUCUUGACAUCCAAAGAUGAUGUCAACCUUCUUUUCCCAUUCCAGGAAUGCGUCCCGAUCGCUCUUGCCGUAGAACGCUGGAAUCCGGAGCUUCAUUCCUCCGAGGUCAUUGUCGUUUCGGCCUCUAGCCGGUUCGGCUUUGUAACGCUGUUGUGGCCGUCCUCCCUCAUAUCAGUCGUUUGGGUUUCUCGCAGGCAUGGCGUGUCCUCGGUCUCGGAUUCCUCCAGCUCGGCCACGGAACAUUCGGUUGCCUUGCGGUCUCACUCGGCUACUACCAGAGGAAUGGUUAUCUUUGUAGAAAGGGUUGUCGACCUCAGGUUCCUGGUUCCGAUCUCGGCGGAUGUGCAUAGGUUCCUCACGGUUUUGAUCGUUUACUUCCGCUGGCCUCGGCUGACCUUCAAGCCGUUCCAUACGUUGGCUCAUGCGCUCCAUCAUCUCGGUGAUUUGAUUAAGCUUAGCCUCCAUCUCCUUAGGGGUGAUCCAGCGAACGUGAUUACCGUCUCGGAACGUGUAGAAUUCACAGUCGUCCAAAGAGAAAUCGGAUGACAUACAAGUACCUCGCAAAAAUUAAACAAACACGUUAGUAAUCAAAUUCCUCACAAGUGUUUCCCUCUUUGUUCACUCACUCUCUUAAUGACCUCACAACACACUAGAGUUUCUCUCCGGUUCUAAGCAAACUAAAUCGACAAAUCGACUUAAGCCUCAAUCGAAUCGGUGAAUCAAGCAAGUUGGACGUUUUAAGAGACAAGAGAAUAGAUAGAAAGAGAAGAAUUCAGAUCGUUUUUUUUUUUUUUUCGAAUUUCCUCUUUUUUUUUUUACGAUUUACACAAGAAAAGAUGAGAAAAGAUUGAAUUCUAAAAUAAAAGAAAGAUAGUACCGAUUCACAAGUGCGUGGCUCUGAUACCACUUGAUAGAAGACCGUCCUAGGAUUGUCACACACUUGGUUCGGUGGAGGUUGAUAGAUCCUUGGAUCCAGUCCGGUUCGGUGGAAGAGAUGCUAAGGCGUGAGCGAGAGCUAGAAAAUCCUUAGGCCCAAUUCCAAAGAAGAGGUUGGAAACGAGGGGAUGGACGAAACGAUCAAGGGGGUUGCGAUACCGGAUGUUAGGGUGUGAGACGAGUCCCGAAAUUCCCUAAGCCCCAAAUAUGACUACAACUCUCUUUCUCACUUUGGAAUCGAAGGCUACGUCAAGCAGGAUGAAACUACUUGAUAAACCGAAGAUCGAUCAAUGGUUAACCACCAAAAUAUCGACAAAGUUCUUAGAGAACAAAAGAGAAAACUCAAAGAGAAAUUUUUAUAAAAAGAUAAGUCAUGUGGUUCUGAAUACAUCGAUGCCUUUAUAUAGAGGCUAAAAGGAAGACCAUAGGUCAUUACAGAAAUUAAAGGACAUUAAAUGAAACUAAAUGAGACUAGAUGCGUUGAAUAACGAUUGGAUUUCCGGAUGACCCUUCGCGUCCUCUCGCUAGACCUUUGAGCUCCUUGACCGUUAUACUUUGGCCGCGAAUCAAACUAUGGUCGUGAGAUGGGCGUGCAUUAACCUUGUUAAAACCCCAUUCGGAAAACCCAGUGGGACAAAACCGAAUGUAAAGAAAAAGAGUAUUAACACAACACCCCCAACCAGGUCAGUUCGGACCAGAAUACAUGAGCACGGUCAUGACUUUGUGAACGGGUGUUAGAUCGUCAGCUCGGCCUUGGGUCUUUAGCUCGGUAAGAACUUGUUGGAUUGCUCCCGUGAGCUUCUUGGUACGCGACCUGGUCAUCGGUCCAGUUGGCAUGGCCAGGACGUCGUUCUGGUUGGCUCCUCGGUCUUGUACCCCGUCCUGAACCUCGUCUUCGUUUAGCUCGGCCAUUUGGUCUUGUGUUCCGGGCUGAACCUCGACUUGUUCCUCAUCCUUAGCUCCUAUCGGUUCCAUGAUUCUAUCAACAAAUAUAUUUUGAGGCAUGUUAUCAUUGUCAUAUAUGCAUUUUUAGUUAUGUAAUGAUAUUACAAAUAUUUAUUAAUAUAUUAUGUAUGUAUUUUAAUAAUAUAAUUUCUAUGCGUUAAACAAAUCACAAGAAUAUUUGACAAAAAAAAUCAAAGCUAAUUAAUCAUAACUAUCAUAUAAUUUAUACUUAUAUCUAAUUAAUUUUUUAAAUAUAAUAUUUUCUGAAAUAAAUCUAUAUAAAAAAAAAGAUAAAUCUCACUCCGCGCGGAUUACUACCUAAUACUAAAAUAUGACUAACAUGUUGUUUAUUUUACUUAAUGUUAAAAUUUCAUUGAACACCAUCUCUAUACUUUCAAUAGCAUUUUACGCUUAAAUGUUUUCAAAUGUAUUGUAGUAUUAUCUUCAAUUUUAUAAUAACUACCAAAGAUUAACUAUAAUUUUUUAUAAAUUUUGUACUACUAAAUAUGUAUAUUUUUAUUUGAAUAAUCAAAUUUACAAGUAACAAUCUUUUAUUGUGUUUACUAUAUGUAAGAUUAAUAAUUUUAAUUUUAAAUUUAUGCAUGUAAUUUAAUAAGCAGAUUCGUUAAUAUUUUUAAAUAUAACAUCAUUUUUAUUAAAAAAAAGAAGAAUAUGAACAAAAAUCUAAGAUCAAUUAAUAAAAUAUUAUUAUUUUAUAUUAUUAUUCUAUAGAAAUUUGUAUUAUUAAUUUAUAGAAGUGCAAUAUAUUGUUCGGAAUUGGUGAAAAUGAUGUCGAUACUAGAGAGAUGGUUAGCAUUUGACUUAUACUUGGAGAAUAUUGUGAAAUGUGAGACUUUCAUUUUUUUUUUUAAUUUUACACGUUUCACGUAUGAAGGAUACAAAAAUGGACAAUUUAGCACAAAAUAUAUAGAUCUAUUCUCAAGAUGUAAACUCGGUAUCUUCGGUUUGGACUACCAAACCAAGCCGUUUUAAGUAUCUCAAAAACUCGAAUCUGGAUAAAAAUCUCUAAUAAAAAUCAGAUUUCGCUUUUGGUUUAUUUCGGUUUAGUAUUUUGUUUUUUUCGGCCUCGGUUUUGUAGUUUUUUUUUCUCAAUUGAUGAGUGUAGGGAAAGAAAUUUGUGAGAAAAACACACAGAAAAUUACAAAAAGUAGAAAUAAAGUGGCUGUUCGAUAAUCCCUUAUGAUGCAAGAAAAGAAGCUCUUUUUAAUUCGCAAACUAACUCAUUAAAGGGCUUUGUUCCAUUAUCUCGUUUUGGGGAUUUUCAAUCGGAUCUCUUAACAUUCUCGAAAAAAAAUGAUCGAUUUCAGUCGAGUCCAGAAGGAGCUCCAAGAUUGCGAGAAAGACAAGGAUGCUUCGGGUAUCCGGGUCAGCCCGAAAUCCGAUAACCUUACCCGACUCACCGGAACCAUCCCUGGUCCAAUCGGUACUCCUUACGAAGGCGGCACUUUUCAGAUCGAUAUCACGAUUCCAGGUCCGAAAACGAAAAUUUUCGUCUAUACGCUUUUGAUUAGUGAUAAAAGUUUGGGGAUUUCACUUGUUUUUGCUUCAAUUGAGUUAGGGGGUUUCGAAAUUUCGUGUGCGGAAAGUGAAAUCCUUCUCGAAUUUUGCUAUUGUGGUGAAUGGGUUUAUGAGUUCAUAUUCUAGGGUUUAUGGGUCUUAUGAUUCGUAUUGUGUGAUUUCCAUCAAUCAAUCUUUUUAUUAGUUUAUCAUUUCCUCAAAAAUUGCAGAAGGGUAUCCAUUUGAGCCUCCAAAGAUGCAAUUUUCAACCAAAGUUUGGUAAGAAGAUGACUCUGGUUCUUAUAUCAAUCUCUCGCAAAAUAUGUAUCUGUAUGUAUGUUUGAUAAGUGAAGGAACUUAAACCUAUAGUAUUACAGUUUCUGCAUCUAUUAUAGAGAUUGUAUCAUUACUAUGCAUAACUCUUUAGUCUCAGUUUUUGCUGUCUCAUAUACAUUAUAAUCUCAUAUUAUCUGUGGCCAGAAGUUUGGUCUUUGGUAGAGUUGUUUUAAGGUUCUCUUCAACUUUCUCUUUACAUACAUUUUACCAUUACUAAUUCGGCUUGUGUUAAGGUAUAUCAAUUCUCUAUUGACUCGUAAGAUAUUUAGACAAUGAAUUAUGUGGUAAUAAAUGCUCUAUCUUCGUUGAUUCGUCUUAAUUAAAACCCGAAGGCACCCGAACAUAAGUAGCCAAAGCGGGGCAAUAUGCUUGGAUGUCCUGAAAGACCAGUGGAGUCCAGCUCUUACUUUGAAGACAGCUCUUGUUUCGAUCCAGGCAUUACUCUCUACACCAGAGCCCAAAGACCCUCAAGAUGCUGUUGUAGCUGAACAGGUUCGAGUACAUUACCUUAAUCAUCUUCGGUUCUUUCCCUUUUAAUAAGUCACUUUGAACCAAUUCUGAUCUCUCUGAUGUUUACAGUACAUCAAGAACUAUCAAGUGUUUGUAUCAACAGCUCGUUACUGGACCGAAACAUUCGCCAAGAACUCUUCGCUAGAGGAAAAAGUGAGUUGUUGAUAUGACUAUCUAUAUCUAAUGGUUUGAGUAAAAAUGCAGUGUCUGGUUUGUGUAUUAAAAGGUUUGUAUCGGAUUUGAUUUUGUCACAGGUCAAGAGACUCGUGGAGAUGGGUUUUGGAGAUGCUCAGGUUAGGAGCGCAAUUGAAUCAAGUGGUGGAGAUGAGAAUCUGGCAUUGGAAAAGCUCUGUUCUGGUUAGAUUCUAUCAAAACAGGCCUCAUUGGCGCUAGAUAUGAUAUUAAUUUGGGCUGUUAACUUAAUGUUGUGAGAUUUUGCUCUUGUCUGAUGAUAAAGAGUGAAACUUCUAUGAAAUUUUUUACUAAAUGCAAUCUAUAAAACAGAUUAUAUCUAGUGGAUCAGUGAGCAUGGAGUGUGUCAGGUUUAUUCAUGAUGAUUAAUCAAAUGUCUUCUGAAUUCUGAUUGAUAGAAUUGGUUGUUUUUCGUGAUAGAACCGGUGUAUUUCUAAUAGCUAACCGGGUUUAUGUUCAAUUCAAAUAAACCAAACUGAUCUGAAACCAAACUGCAAUAACCAAUCUAAAAUUUGAACCGUGUACCACAAUUGAUUAACUUUUUGUUAUCUGAACUGAAACCGGACUGAAUAAAGCGAAAGAAAAAUACACAAUUCAUUCUAAACUUCUUAACUAAUGUAUCAGUAUUUGAUAUAAGAUUAAAUUCAAAGCAAAACCAUAAUGUUAUCAAACCAUCCAUUCAAGAUAAACCAUCCGAACCAAAUUAAAGUUCAUUAUAAACCAUAAUGUUAUCAAACCAUCCAAAUCCAACUAACAUUCAGAUUUAACACUUCUAGUUUUUUUGGUUAGUGAAAACUGAAACCAAGUGUGAAUCAGUCGAAGGCAGAGAGAGAGGUUGAACCAUUAAAGGCAUUGCAUUUAGUGAACAAGAAAGCCAAACGUAUAAUUUGGUUUGAAACUCAACUACCAAUAAAUUCCAUUGUUGACCCAUCCAUUUACAUCCUUCUGCCUUUUCAAAUUUUCCCAUUAUUUUAUUAAUAUAAUUUACUCAAAUUAAUAAAUUUAUUAUAUUAAAACAGAAUCACGUUAGUGUUUAUUUUCAAAUACUUCCAAAGUUUUUUUUAAAAAUAUUUAUUUAUAUAUAUAAAUUUAAUUUCAAAAAUUAGAUAUUAAUUUAAAUAACUAAAAAAAAAUAAAUAUAGAUUAUAUCUAUAGUCUAUACAUAUUAAUUUAAAUAGACUUCCUUAAAUAUAAAUUAAAUUUAAUUUAAAAUUUGAAAUUUAAAUAAGAUUUUCAGAAUAACAUAUUUAAUUAACAAAUAUUUUAUUAUAUUUUUUUAAUCAUAUUCUAUCAGAUUAAAAUUUCACAUAUUAAAAAUAGAUAAAUAUUAAUAUUAUAUAAUAAUUUGAUGGGAUAAAUUAAGUUUUUUUUAUAAUUAUAGUCUUAUGCAGAUUAGGUUAUCAAAGCAUGCAAGAUAUUAGGGGAAAAUUAUUUCAAAAUUAGUAAAUUUUUUACUAAAUGCAAUCUAUAAAUAUUUAAAGUAAUAUAAAUGGGCGGGUUAAAUUAUGGUUUCAUAAUCAUAGUCUUUUUCGGAUUAAUAAAAUGAACGGAUUAAAAAUAUAUUUUUAUAAUAACGAUUACUUUUUGAUUAAUAAAAUAAUCAGGUUAAAAUUAUGUUUUUAUGAUCAUGAUAGUCAUAAUAAUACUGAAAAAAAUAUAUAUAUAUCUAAACACAAUUUUUUAUAUUACUUAUUAAAAAUUAUAUUUAUAAAGAAUACAUAAAUUAAAUUACAAAUUUUGAUUAAAACAAAAUUCUAAAAUCUAGUACUGAAUUAAUUUUGAAUCAUUUGUAUUUGAAGAACUCACCUAGUCUUGGCAAACACUCUCUUUCCUCGACAAAACGUGCAUAAGCUUUCUCGUCGUCAUGGCCUCAUGGGUCUUUAGUUUUCUUACUUUUUAUUCGUUUUGGUUUUGGUUUUUUUUUUUAACUUUUUAUUUGGUUUGGCUCUUUGAGAACACUCGAAUUUUAAAUUAGGCUUCGGGGGAGACUAGUGUAACUCCAUAGUCAAAACUCAUAAAAGUUUAUGACUUUUGUUUUGCAUAAAUCAAUUUAUAGUGGAGCAUUCCUUGAUAUAUAAUGAUUAUGAAGUUGCUUUAAUGUUUAUUUCUCAAUAAAAUGAUUUCGAAUUUUAUAAUAGAAUAAUGAUAAUAUUAAUAAUAAUAAUAUUGUAAAUAAGUGAAGUGGAGUAUGCAGCAAUGAGGAAAGAAUCUAAGAGCGGCUUUAGGUUUAGACCAAUAUUUCGUCCAUAUUUAUAUUCAAUUGUUGGUUGGUUCUUGCUGAAGUAUAUUCUAUAAAAAUCUUUAGGACUAAAUUGAAUGAUUGUAAAUUUGUACCAGAUUCGAAACUACGAUGCUCUGUCAAAGAUAUCUACGAACACUUGUGUAAGUGUUCGUAGAUUUUUAUAUGAGAUUUUUCUCAAUUGAAACUUGUUGUUGUUCUAACUAAAGUGACAUAAGAUCAACUACAUAUUUUAAUUUAGAUUUUGAGAGAUUUGCACAAGCUGCCAUUUUAUUUAAAUCUUAGUUAAAUUUAUGUCAUUCUAAAAAAAAUCUGUAAUUUAAAAUUUUGUUGCUGAAUUUACCCUGAUUUUUUUUUAUUUGAUGCUUUAAAGUCAACGAAUCAUGAAACACUCGUCAAUCGUUGUCAGCAUUUGCAGCAUCGACGAAUGUUUAAGAUUAUCAUUUCGAUUUGUUGAUAUAUUGCAUCUGAUACAAAAGGAUUCAACUUGAAUGAAUACUAAUCUAAUCGAAUCUAUACUCUAUAGACCAAAACAACAAACUUUUUAUGGAUUAACUUUCGUAAUUCUUUAACCAUGAAGACUUAAUAAACAUAGAAAUUUAUGUCCAAACCAAUACCCUAGCGAAUAUUGUUGAGUUGGUUUCACUGAGUCAUCGGUCUGUUUGACAUCCCUAACCUCAAUUCAAAUAGAUGGAAAUAUUACAACAUAGACUUUUUUCGUAACAGUACUGAUUUUCAAAUUAAUUUUAUCGUUUACAUGCGUCUCUGAUGUCACACAAAAAAUAAUGACAUAAAAGCAUAAAAAGAAUUUUGAUAAAGAAAGAAACAACAAAGUCAAAUCUAUUUGAACAGAAAAAAAAAAGUAGAAUAACUUUUUGGGGCUUUAAUUUCUUACAGAUGAUAAAAAAGGCUUUUUUGUUUCCAACUUUAUUCACCUUUAGGCAGGCCUUUCUAUACAACAAAUACGGAAAUACCAAAAUUCCAUGGCAGCAAAAGUAGAUUUAAUCUUUAAUUUAUUUUUCACAACUCUCUUAAGCUAUACAUAUAGAGAGAUGUCCAUUGUCAAAUCUCAGAUUAAUCUAAAAAAAAUCGUAAAAUAGAACUACUCGUAAAGUAUUAACAGAAAACCACCAUUUUAUUUCACUCUACUACGUGCCAAAGACUCGACUGAGUCCAAAACGUUGUCGUUUAGCGAUUCACCAUUUUCUCACUGUGUAAUGUAUCUUUCGAAGUGAGAAGACAAAAACACACAAAAAGCUGAAAUCAAUUCAUCGGUUUACCGAUCACGGAGAUAUGAUAAGCUAAAGAAAAAGAAGAACUUUUUGCGAUUCAAACGAUUUUUUAGGCCAAUGGGCUGCGUUUGCUGCAAAAAUUCCGCCGGAGAGAAACGGAAUCCCAAUGAAACUGCUCCGGGAAACCUCCACCGCCGUGAAUCUAAGGCGGAGGAUUUGCCUUCUUCCUCCACCACCGUGUCUGUACCGGAGCUCGAUACCGGAGAGAAGAAGAAGAAUUCGGGUUUGGAUUCGAUUCAGAUUCAAACGGCGAGAACGUGGCACACUGGCGAUUUCUCGGCUGGCUCUUCUCGUCGGCCGUUUGGAAUGAGCCUCCGUGCUCCGGAAGUUUGGCCACCGUGGCUAAUUGCUGCUUGCGGCGAAUCGAUCAAAGACUUGACUCCUCGCCGAGCCACCACUUACGAGAAGCUCGAGAAGGUAACCAAAACACUAAUCAUCAAAGAUUAGCAUUAAAUUAAGUAAUCAAAACACUAAUCAUUAACAAUAAAUGAUGAAAUCUUUGAGGCAAUAUUAGAAAGUUUCGAGCUUUACAUCCAAUUAAUUUCCUUUUUCUUGAUUAGUUUAUUUGCUUAAUUAUACUCUUUGUUGUUUUGUUCUUAAUGAAUGAUGAUUACACACUAAUCAUAAACAAGAAAUGAUGAAAUCUUUGAUGGUAUAAUUAGAAAGUUUCUAGCUUUACAUCCAAUUAAUUUAUUUUUUCUUGAUUAGUUUAUUUGCUUAAUGAUACAUUUUUGUUUUGUUGUUAAUGACAAUCUUUAGAAUUUUUUUUUUUUAGAUUGGGCAAGGAACUUACAGCAAUGUGUACAAGGCGAAAGAUCUAUUGACUGGAAAAAUCGUAGCUUUGAAGAAAGUGAGGUUUGAUAAUUUGGAAGCAGAGAGUGUUAAGUUCAUGGCAAGAGAGAUUCUUGUGCUGCGACGGUUAAACCAUCCUAAUGUUAUAAAGCUUGAAGGUUUAGUUGCUUCAAGGGUUUCGUGUAGCCUCUACCUUGUUUUUGAGUACAUGGAGCAUGAUCUCUCUGGCCUUGCUGCAACUCAAGGUGUUAAAUUUGAUCUUCCUCAGGUGUGUGUUUUCGUUUUUUCGUUUCGUUUCUUACCACAUACAAUGCAUUGUUUUACAGAAGAUAAAUGAUUAAUUACAUGUAUGAAGUUGGUGUGAAAUGUUGAUAUGCUUCCAAGUAUAAGUGGUAAUUAUGAAUUUGAUGUUUUUAGGUUUCUUUUCUGAUGUCUUUUUAUUUUAUUUUGUCUUUAGGUCCACAGAUCCUGUUUUGGUCACAUAUGGUCAUGUUUGCGUCUUGCUUGGUUUUGUUUAUAUUGUGCCUUUGGUGAAGUUAUAAUGAUUUGUCUGUGGACCCAUUAUGUUUCUGGUUUCUGGUUUCUGGUUUCUGGUGAAUUUCAACGUCCUUUAUGAAUUGUCAUUCAUUGGAUUUGGUUCUUUUAUUAUCUAUGCAUAUUGAUAUUAUUGCAUAAUCUUAAGUUGCAGAAUUAAGAAACAGAUUAGUCUGAAAAAGUUUAUAAACAAAGAUACCAACUUGUAUAUGAAUAUUAUAAGCUUUAAUGGUGGAGUUUUCUUUCUUUUUUGUUGUUGUUGUUUAGGUGAAGUGCUUUAUGAAACAGCUACUAUCUGGACUAGAGCAUUGCCAUAGCCGAGGAGUAUUACAUCGAGAUAUCAAAGGUUCUAAUCUUUUGAUAGAUAACGAUGGAACACUGAAGAUUGCUGAUUUUGGGUUAGCUACGUUUUAUGACCCAAAGCAAAAGCAAACAAUGACUAGUCGUGUUGUCACGCUCUGGUACCGACCUCCCGAGCUUCUUCUUGGAGCUACCAACUAUGGAAUCGGUGUUGAUCUUUGGAGUGCUGGUUGUAUUAUGGCAGAGUUACUUGCUGGCAAGCCCGUUAUGCCAGGAAGAACCGAGGUAAACAAGAACCGUGUUUAAUCUUGUUCUUGUUAGUCUGCUUAGACAUUCUUGUAGGGCCUUUUGUCUUAGUUUAAUGCUUCUUGGUGAAUUGAUUUAUCCUUUGGAAACCAACUACACGAAUCUUGGAGUCUUGGACAAUAAAUGCAAUGUACAACUGAAUAUUAAUGAGGUUGUUUGUUUACCGUUUAUUUCUUACCUAAUUUGUUU
rnacentral:lncRNA from 1 species